CACCGCCUGGUAGUCGGCGUGGAAGCGGUCAGCGAUGGUGGGGACGUCAUCGCCCCAGGUGAUGAGGUAUGUGAGCAAGUACUUGAUGCCGCUGCUGGUUUGUUCGGCGGUGGGGCAGGCGCAGCGGAGGGGAACAUCCACCCGGAGGCCGGCGGUGAGGUUGAGGCUGCCGUAAGGGUUCUGCGCUAUGAGGGCCUGGCAGGUGGAGAGGCCCUGGUAGGUAUCGUUGGCCACUAUGAAGUAGGUGUCCCUGGAGGUCAAGGUGUAGGAGACGUUGUGCUGGUAGUAGCCGCCGGAGCAGGAGCAGGGGACCGGCACGAGGACGAGUUGGUCGUUGGGGACGUUGGCGAACUCGGUAGCGACGCCGUUGAUGCGGGAGAUGUUGUCGGCGUCGGCGCCUAAUAGGUAUGCGAUCAGUACCGGCGACUGGUAGGCGAUCUGGGAUCGGAAAGUGAGGUAGGAGGAGCAGGAGCGGACGCCGUUGCAGGUGUAGCCCAGAGUGGAGGAGUCGGUGGUGGUGCAGUCGAGUUGCCUGUUGUUCUCGUACUGUUGCUGGGCGUUGCAGGAGACGAGACACAAGAGGACGAGGGCGAGGAAGAAAGCUAAUUGGGGAUCGGACCUCGUCGUCAUGGCCAUCCGACGGAUGAAUCCGACAGAUCUACUUCUUAUCCGAUCUGUGUUGGCAAGAGACGAAACCCCUCUAAAUCCCCUCUCCCAGAGAACCAAUUCAGGUAGGGAAGAAACCAAGAAGAGCGAUGAACAGAUCAGAACACGGAGAAGAAUCGGUGGUCUUCACUUCCGUUCUCGUCUUUGACUCGCUUUCUUUGACUAACGACGCAGUCAAUGAUAUAGAACUUGUUGACCGAGAUAUAUUUCAUUAGGAAGAACGUUGACGGAGCUGUUGCCGGGUUCUGGCUUCUGAACUCGUCUCUCUCUCAUGGCUUCUCUGACCUGAAAGACAUCAUUCCAAUGGCCGGCCUUGGCGUACAUGUGAGACAGGAGCAGGUAAUCGCUGCUAUGAUAGGGUUCCAGCUCCUCGAGGUGCUCCUGCACACGCUGACCCAAUUCGAGGUCCCCGUGGACUCGGCAUGCGCCCAGCAGCGUCCUCCAAACCACAGCAUUGCAUUCCAUCGGCAUGUUCCUGAUCACAUGGAAAGCUUCCCUCACCUGUCCUGAUCGCCCAAGAACGUCCACCAGGCAUCCGUAGUGCCUUAUGCUGGGAGAGAUGUUGUAGUCCCUCGUCAUUUUGUCGAAGUACCUCCGACCUUCUUCUACUAAACCUCCAUGGCUGCAGGCGCAGAGGACUCCCAGGAAUGUAAUGUCGUUUGGCUCUUCGAGUUCGCACCGACGCAUCCUUUCGAAGAGUGAUAUCGCUUCGGCCGCCCGCCCGUGCAUGGCUAGUCCCAGAAUCAAGGAGUUCCACGAGACCGUGUCUCUCUCCGUCAUAUCGUCGAAUACCUCGACGGCUCUGUCGAUCGCUCCGCACUUUGCAUACAUAUCGAUUAGAGAGUUGGUCACUCUGAGACGGCAACCAUGGGUGGAACUGCCGGCGAUGGAAUGCACCCAUCUGCCGAAGUCCAACGCUCCCAGCCUCGAACAUGCGGCAAGGAUUACCACCAACGUGGCCUUGUCCGGCCCGAGGAAGCUGGUCCUCAGCAUUCUCAGGAACAUCUUCAGCGCCUCGAGGUGCAGGCCGCAGUGCACGUACCCGGCGAUGAGACUGUUCCAUGACACCAGAUCUCUCUCGGACGAUUCUUCGAACACCUGCCGCGCGGCGACCAUGUCGUCGAAGAGAGCGUACGUGUGGAUGAGACUGUUGGAGACGAAGACAUGAGAAUCCACGCCGACCUUGAGCACGCAGCAGUGGACCUGCUUGCCCAACUCGACCGCCGACAACUGGCCGCAGAUAUUGAGUAGGAAAGAGAACGUGAAGUUAUCGGCGUUCUUCCCCUCCUCUCUCAUCCUUCGGUAGAAAAGGAACGCCUCCGCGGGUCUGUUGGCCCUCCCGAGCCCUCUGAUCAUGGUGUUCCAGAGGAACCCAUCCGGCCAGUUGAGCUGCCGGAAGACGGCGGACGCGUAGUCCAUGCAUCCCCUCUGCUCCGAGCUGGAGCAGAAGGAGAUGAGCCUGCCCACGACGAAGACAUGCUGCUCGAAGCCGGUCCGGACGAUCCGGGCAUGGACCUGACUCAGGUCCCGCAGGGUGGAGCAUGACUCCAGGAAGGAGAUGUGGCUCUGCUCCCUCUCGUGGAAACCAACCGCGGUGGAGUCGGAGGUCGGCGAGGUACGUGGAGGCUGGAAGAGAGCGACCGGCAGUCGCGUCGGAGAACCCAAGGAGAACCGCUUGAGCAGCAUGUGGUUACUCCGAGUCAUUACUAACUCGACUCGGGCGAUCCCAUCAUGAAUACAUGCUGGCGAACCCAAAGGAGGGCCUGUCGAGCAGCAUGUGGUGACUCCGAGUCAUUACUAACAAUUUAAUAUGAUACACGUAAAUGGUCACUUUGUAGUAAUCUAUCUUUGGAUCAUUUGUCACAUUCAAUAUUAGGAUGUUUUGACUAUUGUUUGUCAUGAUUUGAUAAGAUAAUUAAUUUAUUACAUCUGAAUUUAUUGAUCCAAAAUGUUUAAACUCAAACUAAUGGUAAUAGACUCAUUAAGUCUUGAUAAUCUAAUUCAAGUACUUGAUGUUUCUAUCGAAGACCUAAUAUAUUUUUAGAAAUAAAUGUUAGUAUGAUCGAUACGAGACAUAGUGCAAUCGUGACUUCAUGUUUGAUAUACUUUAUAAUACAACUUAUAAAUGGUUAUUUUUUACUUAAAUAUCUUGGUAAUACUAAAUCAAUAAUAAUAUCAUUUGUCACGAUGAACCUCAAUAAUAUAAUUACUUAGGUUGAAAUUAAUAAUAAUAGACUCGUGAUAUUAGUCGAGCAUAUCCUACAAAACGAAAAUAUUCACCAUUAGAAUAUCUAAAAAAAAUAUAUCGGUAUAUCGAAAAUCAAAUCUCUUUGAUAUGUGAUGGGCAAGACUAGAGGAAAAAAAAGGACAGACAGAAUGAGAAUAACGAAUGCCAUGUUAUGUUGGUGAGUAGUUCUCAUCAAGUCGUAAUCAUCUUUUAUCUUGAGCUGUUCUAAGUUGCCUAAUAAAUUUUAUGUUGGAAUUUGUACUGCAUUAUACAAUGCUUAGAAAAAUUGAGACAGGAAAUUUUGUUAGAGAAAUUAUAUUUAUGUCAGCUGUGUUGCAGAAUAAGGUUUAAUUUCUCUAUGGAUAUUUUAAUGAAGCUAUGUUGGCUUGUUGAAUCAACAAGAUUUUGACUGCAUAAUUUUUAUGUACAAAAAUUAUUCUAUAAUGCUCUAUUAGACGUACCAAAUUACAAGAUCCAAACCUAAAUGCUAUAUGUGUACCGUUGGACAAUAACUCAUUCUCUGGUUCCAAAAUCAUACUCACUUAAAUGUUUUUGAAGAUUUUUUUGAUCACACACGUGUUGUAUAUAUAUGAAUCUAUUACGAGUAUAAAAAUUAUAAUAUAUUAUUAUUGUUAUAUGAAAAAAAUUAAUAUCAAAAUAUGAAAUCAAAUAAUAAUAUAUCUAAAUUUACGAUACAUACCUUUCGAUGUUAUUCAGAAAACUUCUAUCUGAUCUGCGAGCGUACCAUUCGCCCUAUUUCGUGAUAAUCUUUUAAUCAUUUUACAUAUCCAAUCUCUUUUAUCUGUAUAUGUACGUACUAAUUAUUAUGUGUAUAGUCCAUUAAAGGUCUUAUUUAUUUAUAGACGAGGCAAAGGUUUGAUCGAUAACAGUAAUCAAAAUCUGAUCUAAUAAAUCUUAUCCAAUUAAAUAGGAUCGCAUAAUCUAACAUCUAUGCAUAUAAUAUCCAAAAUCUUCGCACAUAACAUUAGCUUAAGAGGCUUCAUGAACCAUUUUCAUUGUAAUCAUGCAUAGUUUGUGAUCCAAUUUGAUCAGAGAUUUAAUAGGUGAUAGCAUAUUUAGCAUAAUCUAAGCCUCUAAAAAAUUAAUACUUGGAAUGUACUCUUUGAACAGGUUGAUAUCAACUCAUUCCGAGUAGUAUGCUCAAAGUUAUAAUUAUGAUCAAUAAAUAUGUUUCUUCAUCAAUUGUAAAAACAGUUCUAACACAUAUUUAAGUUCAAUUCAAGUUCGACAUGUGAUCUUGAUGGCAAUUCAAAUUAAUUCCACAUGUGAGUUCUCUUGUUUCGGAACUUUGACUUCACUUCCGGCUGGUACCUUUUUUGGAAUGUAAUCUCUCCAUAGUAAUCAAAUGAUAUUUUUCCCUUUUCUAGAAAAAAGUUGAGUCAAAGCGUUAAAGAACAAGCAAUGUUCAUGUUUCGUAUUAAAGGAGUGGUCGUAUUCCAACUUUAGUUAAAGUAGUUGACUUUAGCUGUUAGUGAUGAAUGAUAUAGGGCUAUGUCCUAAUUCAUUUUCCUUCUGCAUCGACACUGCUUUAUAAUCGAUAGCUGUGUUUGUUGCUGUGACAGUGAGUGUGUCAUCUUUGUUGGAUGCCAUUGCUUGGUGUGGAGAAGAAUGAACCUUCCCUCACGUCAACCUGCCUGUGUUUGACUUUUCUCUGAGGAGCUGAGAAGAAUGAUAGGAAAAAGAAAACGGUACAAAAAAAGAGAAUAUAGCCAAUAAUUCUUCCUUCAUCUCCUCUUUGACGACGUCUCUGCUUUGCAUGAAAGCCGAGUCCACGUGCUUGAAAUCCAUUGCAUGGAAAAGGACAUCUCGCUCUCGCUCUCUCUCUCUCUCUGUGGCCUACACACACUGUGAUAAUAUUUGGCCGCCUACCUCCUGCUGAGAAAUGGUCUUUUGCGAGUCUUUGACUGCAAGAUGAUAGAGAAGCGUCUACAUCGUUGACUUAGAUCAAAGAUGCUAUUGUUGUGGACCGGGUGAGAACAGCAAGGACGGUAUAUAAACCGAGGGAAAGAUGGAUGCACCUUAGUCCACAGUUCCGUGUAUCUAUCUGAACAUCUUCCGCCCUCAUAAAUGGAAUGAGUCACACCGUGUGAGCUGAUUUGUAAGGUCUAAAGAAUGUGCUUGACGUCAAUUUCGGCUCGAUACGGGCCACUCUGGAUGAGCAGUCUCAGUUCAUAUGAGGUCGCUGACAUGCACGCAUUCCCUUAUUUGCAUGGCCUGCGUGUGAUGCACCCUUCGUUAUAUAGAGGGGGGAAGGGGGGAUAAGCAACCGUUCGUGUGAUAGGGAAGAUGGAGGAGAAGAAGACUGCACCACGUCAUGAAUCUGCAGUGCCUUCGGCUUGUAAUCAUCGCAUGGCGAUCCAAGACAUCAAUAGGGCGCAAGAGUUGCUGAGCCAACUACAUGCUGUUCUUCUGCAGUUGCAUCCUUCCAAUGGAGGGGAUAUGCUUGAGGAGAUACGAAAGUUCACAUCCUCGGCGCUCUCAAGGCUUCAGUCCUGUGUCUGUGGAUCGUCCGAUGCCUCUGAGGACUCCCAAAGAGACAUAUAUGUCAACGAUACGAGGAAGAGUUUGAAGAGAAGCUGGUAAUUCUAUUCUUCAUCUUGCAGUUUGAACUUCUCUUUGAAGUAAUUGAUCAUCGUAUUAAACUUUCCAUCGGAUUAAACUUGUUGCAGGAGCAAGCCGGAAACGUGGUCGAUAGCUACAACUUCCCCCUUUGACGACGGCCAUCAGUGGAGGAAGUACGGGCACAAAACUAUCAAGAACGCCAAGUAUCCAAAGUAAUCAUCUUCACCAGUAAACUCCCUUCAGCAAUUAAGGUUUUCCCAGUACAUUAAUUCUAGUUGUAAUGCAUGCUUCCAUGAACACAGGAACUACUACAGGUGCGUUUUCAGGGACAAGCAAGGAUGUUUAGCAAAGAAGACGGUACAACAAGAGGAUAGCUACGGCGAUCCUCCCAGGUUCAGCGUCCAGUACAGAGCGCCACAUACCUGCAAAACCAUCAAUGUCGCCUUCCCUUCUGUAAUGGAAUCUGCUCCAAAGGAACCCUCUGUUCAUGCCAGUGGUUCCAGAUGCACCUUGAAGCUUCAGGAGAAUCACCUUUCUCCCUUAGCCCACGCUGCAAUCGAGGCUCAGGAUGAAGGCUUGUGGAUCAGCGAUCAAGCACAAGACUGUGAGCUGCUCGGGUCGGAUAUGGUGGCCACAGAACCCUGGGACUUGGACAUGUUCCUGGAAGAUGAUGAUGGGUGGUACAAUAUUAAGGAUCCUUAAAAAUCUGUGCAAUUCUAACUUGUAAUCAGCCAAUAUAUAGUGUGGCAGUCCUUUCUCUGUAUCACAAGUUUAAGAUGCUCUAUGGAUUGUAGAAUGAAUAUGCUUGGUAAUCAUAUAUGUCUAUCAUGGCAUCAUCUUCUUCCUUGUGCUACUUUGAUUCUUGAGAAAAGUAAGCCAAUUAAGUAUAUCAAUGAGGAAACGAACUGUCUCUACUUAUGAAGAAACCAAAAGAGACGAUUACAAGCAAAAAGACAAUAGAAAUCUUAUGAAUUCAGAAAGCCAAUAGUGAAACAAGAGCUCAUGCAAGGAAGCCUCUCUUGAUCACCAGCAACUCCUCCACCAUCUUCUCCUUCUUCCUUUCGUCCGCGGUCUCUCGGCCGCCGUCCCAGUUGUUCGAAGCAGGAAGUAUAACGGACUCCCUCUGGGCCUUGACAAGCCUCCCCAGCUGCUCCUCACUCACCCCGAAGGCUGUCGCCAGCUCCGGCCCACUCAUGCUCCGAAGCACUGAGCUCGCACCGGCGAGGAACUGCGGAUGAUUUCUCUUGGAGGAUGUUGUGAAGCCAAAGAACUCCAUCGGCCCUCCGCGGGACGCGACCUGGCAGAAAGGGUGGUAGCGCGGGAUCCAGAACACGUCGCCCUCCGACACCUCGGCGUUCAUUGCGGUCGAACCAUUCGGGUAGACCACCUCAAUGCUACCGGAGCCGCUCAGAAUGACGCCGUACUCGGUGGCCACUGGGUUGAAGUGUGGCGCCAUCAUCGAUCCCUGCAAUAGAUCAUAUAAAUUCGACCGCAGUUGACUAAAGGAAACAAUCUGUCCAACUUCCGUAGUUCAAGUUUUCACAGAUUAACAAGUGCGACCACUGACCGCAGUGAGGUUGACCAGAUAGACGCCAACGCCGCAGCUACUGAGAAGGGAAUAGUCAUGCUCGUCAAUGGCGGUACUCCAUCCAUAGCUAUUCUGAAAGCUCGGCUCGUUGUUGUAAAGGUUGAACGCGUACGGGGCGUGGUGGGAUUCAGUCGAUCUUGCUUUCUCGCGACCACUCCUGCCAAAUAAAUAGUCGAGGAGAUUCUUCCGUGUCCAUGUGGUGGCUGCCUCCUCGUCAUCGUUGUUGGGAUCCAACUCUUCCUCUUGCUGACCACUGAAGUGAACGAUCGGACCACCACUUUGUCUCCGCAUCAUUGGACGCAGUUGAUCAGAGGUGAUCUGUGAGGAUCCAAGAACUCAAAUGUAAUUUGAAGAGAUUCGACUCGUCUAAAAUUGAAUCUUAUAUCAUGUACAAAUGAAUUGUGUUACGUUGAAUGCAUUUGCGAGUGUGUUGACAUCGAAUCCAGCAAGCACUGAGGUUGGAUUUGUUCCACCGCCGAUGAAGAACGACUGCCAAGUAGACAUCAACUAAGCAUGAAACUCUUGGAUCCAUGGUAUCAGAACAAGAAUAGAAGGCCACUCACUUGUUGCGAAUUGUAUGUCAAACUCUGGGAAGUGUCGAUGCCACAAACCAUGUGUGACCUCUCCGAGUUAGUGUUCGCGAUGUAGAAGGGUGAUCCGGCAGGGAUCACGUUGAUGUCCCCUCUCUUGAGCUUUCUCUGCACCAACUCGUCCUUGUGAAUCCACCCAGCCUCCACCUCACCUUCAUAUACAUGAUCACAAAAUCAUUCCACGAGUAAACGUAUUACCAGUUCAUGACUGCAGAGAGAGGCUUACCUUCACGUACGAAUUGGAUGAGAUUGGCGUCGACGUAUUGGGGAAGGAAGAGGCUGUUGGGCUCCAGGCGCAGGAAACCGAUGUGCAUGGUGCUUGGAUGACCCUUCCACCGAUCACCGGACACGACCCUAACUUGGCCGGCCUCAGUCCUCACAGCCCUCCUCGUCCUCCCCAGUAUGAAGCGACCUCGACCAGUAGCGUCUUCUCCGCACUCUCUAACUUUCUCUGCCUCUUCUCUCUCUGUUCCUCUUUCUUGGUGUCCGCUCGCCGGCACCGAGAAGAGCAGCAGCAGCGUCAGAAGGGCCACCACCGCCCGGUCUCCCACAGCGACCGCCAUUUCCAAGGGCUUAUUCCUCUUCAGCCUUUCUUCCCUGCUAGUCCAAAUGGGAAUGAGGUGAGAGGAAUGCGAUGGCCGUGAGGGUUUUAAAGGGCGGAGAGAAUAGUGUGGUGUCGACACGUCGCUCUUUUAUGCUUCGGAAGGUCUGGGUUUACGUGGAGAUCGACCAACACGACUUUACGAGUUCACGGAGAGAUCUACUGAAAUGACUAUUGACUGCUUCAUCGGUGUUUAUUAUUAUUAUUAUUAAUUUAACCAUUUUAACUCAGUGAAUCAGACUCAACAAAUUAAUUAUCUGAUCAUUUAUCCCAUCAUAUCGAAUCAUAAUAAAUUAAUUUAAAUUUUAUCAUUUUAAAUUAUAUCUAUUUAACCUAAAAAUUUAUAACCCAAAAUAUAUAAAAUAAUUAUCAGAAAUAGUUUACAUGAACAAAUUGGACUGGGAGUCCAUAGAUCAGCGAACCAAGGGCCUGCUUUAGGCCGGCGUUAGCCCACCAUAUCCACCACCACCACUGCACGAGCCGACCGGCGGGAUCGGUUCUCCUCCUCGGCUCCAUUUCCGGUGCCAUGAUCGAGCAACAACCGCCGGCAAGUUGGGCAGGAAGAGUGCGAAGCAAGCCACUUGUCGAUGCACUCGACGUGGAACACAUGGCGGCACAUGGGCAGCACCCGGACCUUCUCGCCGUCGGCGAACUCCCCCAGGCAUAUCGGGCAAUCGGUGGCCGGGAUGUCAGCUCCCAAGGCGUACACCGCCUCUGGGAGGCGGCGGAGCGACUGCUUGUUGAGCCUGGUCGCAGCGAGCCUCGCAGCGGCCUGCUCGGGGGUCUCCAAGGCCAGCACCGCCCGCACCGGAGCGCGCACCGCACCAUGGAGUUCAGCCCGAGCACGAGUAUUAGAGCGCAGAGGAGUGCCACGAUGACGAUAACCAUGCCGGCGUCGUAACCGGCAUUGCCGCCGCCGUUCAUGACGGCGUGCGGCCUGCUUCCGUUGACCCCCGGCGGUGUCUCGGGGAGUGCACCGAGCAGCCUAUGCAUGGAUUCUACCAGGUACUUGUCAGAGUUUGCUUUGUGCCAGUGGCGGCAAAAGGAACAGUGAAGAGAAAAUGAGAGCGAUCACAGAUCUCGGAACUCCUCUUACCAGAACUCGCUGCCACCAAUAACUACUCAACAUAUGUUGCUUUGUCUUCUCAGCUUCGGAAGAGAAGAUUCUUCACAUCCUUACAACCUUAGACUUGCAUGAAAUGGGCGAAGUGGAGGAGCAACUGAGAUUUCCAUUUGGAUGGAUUCAGAGACAUGGAAACAUAUUCACACUGCUUUGGAAGAGAUUGGCUUCUCUCUUUUGAUAUAACUACAGCACAUUGUAAAAGAGAUUCUCUUGUUGAAAAGGACAGUAAUCUUGAGAAGGCAUGAGGAUCUUAAUCAAUGAAUUGAUGUACCACCUAAGAACCCACCUAAUCAUCAUAGUCUAAAGCAUCCAAAACCUCUUGCUUAAGCUUUCAUUUAAUAGCGAAACAGUUGUAGUUCUUAACAAUGGGUUGCUUUGCCUCACAGAAGACUCAGGCAAGCUCUAAUUGGUCACUGCUGUCCUUUUGCGUGACAUGAAUAGGGGUGAACGAUGUUUCUGCUUGGAGUUAGAUACUUCUCUUCUCGUCUAAUGCGUCCUUGUCCAUGUCUAUCUUAGAGUCCAUAUGCAUGAAUGGAGAUGAUUCAUUUUAGAAAGCUUGAGCAAUCAUUCCACUUUGCACCUACCUCUUCAUUCCUUCAGAAGCAUGAUUUCAUCAAGCACACCGCGAAUUAUAUGCCAUGGCUGUUGGCAUGUCCUUCUCCUCUGUUCUUCUUUUAUGGGUUUUGUUGAAUAAAGAAAGGCAAUUAGGAUGUCAUCUUGCAACCUUACUUCAAUUUGUGUCUUUGUGGCUGUGUUGACUAUUGACGAUAUAUAUUUUGAAGACAUGAUUGCAACCUUGCCCUGCUUCAUGAUGUUAACAUAUCAUCUAUAGGAAGACAGGGGAAGAAAGAAUUUGCUGUUGCUUGACGUGUUAAGCAACGACUCUGCGAUGGGGAAGAAGACACAGUUACUCUCAAGUCUCAAGGUCCGAAAAGGAUGAGUUCGACUGCGGCUCGAACUCCAUCAUCCAUACCAAAACACUCACUCACACUUUUGACUGCGUGUGCAUCACGGCACACGUCUAUGACACUUCCAGCUAAAAAACACUUGAAGCCUUAUGUGGGCUUCAAGUUUUGGAACAUAGAAUCCCACCUCGUGGCUCCAUCUGCAGUCUCCCAGCACCCAUCAGCAGCAGCAGCAUUGCUGUUCUCACGACGACUGCGGCCCAUCGGGGUACCGCUGUGAGAUCGAGAAGGCAGAUCUGCGAUUCUCAUGCCGCGAUCAGUGAUCAUCAGCCUGCCCUGCUUCAGGAUCACCAGCUUCGUCUUCCUCCUCGACGUGGCCCCUCUCCAGCAGUCGCCGCACGCAGUCUUCGGCACGACCAAGAUCGCCGGACCGUCAGAACGAGCCAAGGUGCGGAUGUACUUCGCGAGGCGAGUCUUGGACUUCCUGAUGACCGUGGCAAGCUUGGCGACGGGAAGAGGAGACGCCCUCCUACUGUUCUUAGCGAGUUUGAGGAUCUCCAGCCGGUGCUUUGCGAUGGAGACGCCCAUGCUCUGUAGGAAGUCGUGGUCGAAGUGUGCUAUAUCGUCCUCCUCGAGCUCGUUGUUCAUGAACAGAAGCCCAUAGUCGUAAACAAGGGAUGGCUCGAGGCACGAUUUGGAUAGCCAUGAGUGCCAGUCCAUGGUUCUGUGCUCCAUUGAAGUAGUGCUAGCCUAAUGGAUUUAUAGGAAAUCAGAGGAGGAACUAAGAGAUCGAGAUCAGAUGUCAGGGUGAGGACACUACCAAUAUUCAAGGUUAAGGUCAUGAUGCUCUUGUAGCUCUUUCUGAGGCUUCCCCAGCGCAGCAGAGAAUCAUCAUGUGUAGUAUGCUUGAAGUUUAAGGUAUCACCUUUCUUCUGAGGAUAACAACAGAUCAUAAGCUUCAAAAACUUCAGUUGGCAUGAACGAUGCCAACAGCAGUGUGUUGAGCAGAGUGAGAUAGAAGCUCCCAACGCGGCAUAGGAAAAGUGGGUGUUGUGGGUCCCCGUUGACUAAAGGUCAACAAUUAUAAAAGUUGGCUAAUUUAAGAAAAGAAAGGCUAAAAAUUGUAUCCAACGAAUUAGAGAACGUAAAUGAACAUUAAUAAUAAGAAAACUCAAUUCGAGACUCACCCAAGGUUUCCAAUGCUAAACUAUGCGGGUCCCCCAACUAGAAUCCAAUCAUCAAACAGGAAGGUGUGAGAGAGUCCGAUACAUCCACGUGGGAGAGUAGUUACGUAGCAAACAAUAAUGAACUCGCAGCGCAACUCAAAACUCAGCAAGCAGGUAGUCGAUUCGAUACGCACAUCUGUUGUUUACAUUCGACCGUUGAUCUACGACGUUUCUCCACACCCAACAGGAUUUUAAAUACAAUUUUCACGUCAUGUUGCACCGGAUCGGGAUCAUGUUAAGUUAGGUCACUUUCCGAGGUUUCUCGAUCGACGGAUCUCUCGGCUUCGAUUUGGCCCAUCGAUCUUCGUUCGUGGUGAGAUUCGAUGGAAAUGAUCAGGAGAGCUCAAUCGGUUUGAAUAGUGAGGACCGUCUUACAAGAACAGGUUGCAUUUGGUGAUGUCGACUUUAAGAAUUAGAUUCGGUAGAUUUGUUUGUCUAGUUGGAUCCAAACCUCGCGUAAACAAUUGAAGUGAUGGGUGCAUGUCACCGACUCAUGAGCCCGAUCAGAUGAGCCCGGCCCAUUUACUUCGUCCAUUCUGUUGCAGGAUUUAUUUGGUAGCCGCCUUUGAUUGGGAAUUAGGGUUGUCUGGUCGCAGUCGCGGGCGAGGUGGAGCGAUUUGGGAAGGCGCUGCUCUCGGCUCUCUUUCCUGCGCGUAGCGGACCGCUUCGAAGCGGUCUCUCUCGGUUCUCCUUCCUGCACCACUGAGACGCUUACUUUUGUGUUCUUUUUCCAUUUGGAUGCCAUUCCGAAUUGUUAUGAACAAUUGUUCUUCUUUUCAGGGGUCACUAAGUCGAGUAGCUACUUGUCCAGAUUCAUGGCGACCGCUAAUGCCAACGCCAAAGGUGGUACGUAUUACUGCCGUAAAUGAUGUUUAAAAUGCUUUCGUUCAUUCUUGCAUAAGGUGUCACAGGUGUCAAUUGUAAUCUUCUUAUCAGCGAGGAAGAAGGAAGUGAAGAAAGAAACUGGACUUGGUUUGACCUACAAGAAAAAUGAGAACUUUGGUGAAUGGUACUCCGAGGUGCGCACGAUCAAGUUACCGGUGGUUCUCUUUCUGUUGACGUUAAAGUAUUAAUUUUGCAUUCCUUUUUCAGGUUGUUGUUAAUAGUGAAAUGAUUGAGUACUACGACAUAUCUGGCUGCUACAUCCUAAGACCAUGGACGAUGACAAUUUGGGAAGUUUUACAAGUAAUGGAUUUAGAUUCAUGUCAGAAGAGAUUGCUGUGUGUUUCCAUAUUUUGUUAACAACCUGGUUCUUUAAUCAAACCCUCCAAUUGUGGCUUCAAAUAAUAAAAACAUCAGUGCUGCGUUUGAUAUUUUUGGGUCCCAUGUAUGUUGAUGAUUUAUAAAUUAUGUGAAGUUUUUAACUAUCUUGAUGUUUAAGAUUACAUUGCCUUGUUUCUUAUCUCUUGGGAUUUCCUCUGGACCAUCUGUUGAUUGCUGAACUUUUUGUACAUGCAGACAUUCUUUGAUGCUGAAAUAAAAAAGAUGAAUAUCAAGAAUGCGUAUUUUCCUCUAUUUGUUACUGAGAGUGUCCUACAGAGGGAGAAGGAUCAUAUUGAGGGCUUUGCUCCUGAGGUGAGAUUUGAGUUUUGUUAAGGUGAACUAGAUUCUGCUGAAUUUUCCUUUCAUGCAGAGAUGAGCAAUUCUUUCUUGACACAUGUAGUUCAGAUUUGGUUUCAAAGUUGUACUCCAGACAGUUGAUGACAAAAUUCUAGAGAUGAUUUAGUUAAUGUUAUAAAAACUGUUGUAGUUGCUGCUAUUCUUGAAUUCUCAUUUACUGCUCAGCAGUAGUUGUUCUUUUCAAUUCUAAUUCGUAAGUUUAUUAGUGUGCAAGUUUUCAAUGUCGCAUACAAUAAUGUGUCCUUUGGCUUACUUCUUGAAGGUUGCUUGGGUUACUAAGUCUGGUCAGUCCGAGUUGGAAGUUCCUAUUGCAAUUCGUCCCACAAGUGAAACUGUCAUGUACCCAUAUUUUUCUAAAUGGAUUAGGGGGCAUCGUGACUUGCCAUUGAAGCUUAACCAAUGGUGCAAUGUCGUUAGAUGGGAGUUUAGCCAUCCUACUCCCUUUAUCAGGUUCCUCUGACAUUUUAUUUAUGAAUGUUGAAAAAUAGAUUUGUGGAUUAUUUUCCUUCUAUUGGAUCAUUGUUUACUAAAAUUUCAUUAGCAUGAUUCUGCUGCAGUUUAGUUUUUAUGGUGUCUUUUUUGGGAUGAUUAGAACUGCCAAGGGCAAUGGCUUUAGUUUGAUAGUUUUUAUUGUGUUAACAAGUACUUUCUUGUAGGGUAUCGAAGUUGGCUUUUUUAAUGCUUAUUGCCACAGUGUUUGACUAUAGGAUUGCCCACAAAUUAGCUGCUAUAUUAUUUUUCUAUUAUAAGAUUAAUCACAAAUUAGCUACUUUUUGUUGCAGUUGUUUUGGUUUGACAGUAAGAUUAAUGUGAGGCUUGUUAUCUCUAGUUCUCAACAACUUGCAUUUUUCUCUUCAGAUACUUUGUGGAUGUCUUUUCCUUCUACUAUAAUUUCCUCCUUUUUUUUCCUUCAACUAUUAACUUGAAAACUGGAGAAUACAGAAGCAAAUGGUGGGUCUAUGCAUGAAAUUGGAUUAUCUAUGUUAUCUCGAUAACAUGGUAUGGUGAAGCGUGUUACAUAAAGCUGCUUAUCUUUGUUGUCUGUGUUUGUUGCUGUUCUGUUGAUCUUGUUUCUUUUUUCUUAACUGAUGUGAGAAGAAGUCAUAUACUCAUUACUUAUCAGUUAAUUGCAUGCAUAUUUUCUGAUUUGUUUCUUUCAUCCAAAAUUUUAAAAUACAUGUUCUUGUUGGACUUCUGUCUUAUUUUUUUUCUUAUCUGCAGGAGUCGGGAGUUUCUUUGGCAAGAAGGGCACACAGCUUUUGCAACACAAGCUGAAGCAGAUCAAGAGGUACUUGAGAAUUCUAUUUUUGGAAAGUUUUUAUUAGAUUCUUAUACAAAAACUAGCUUGUCAGAAUAAACAAUGAAGUUGCUCACCCAGAAAUUAUUUUUGGAUAGCUGAUAUUGAUGUACUUAUUUUAUGAAUUUCAAAGUGUCUGUAGAUGAUAAUUAAAUAGUAAACUCCACUAAAGUUGAUUGGAUGGCAUCCAACAUAAAUAGUAAGCUAUGAAGCACAGACACUUGGAAAUAUUAAUCCCAAUAUAGAUGCUACUAAAGUUAUAUAGUCUUUCUCUUCAUGGUUUUGGUCAUUUUUUGGUUGCAUUGGUCAUAAGGUAGGUACUGGCUUAGUGGUAGUUUGGAUCUUGAUUUUGGAGAAUUUAACCUAUUCUGCAUGUCACUAGAGUAUUCAGGUAGCUGUCAGGAUUUUUAUUUAUAUUUGAGAAGAUAUAUAUGUCUUUUUUAAAAUUUAUUAUGUACUCAUUAUCUGAAAGCAUUCUAUGAGAACUGGGUUCUUGGUGUUCUUUUGGAAAACGGAUUUGUGAUGCUACUGCUAUUUGGAUGAUCCUUGCACUUUGAUCUCUGCAAAAGAUGAACUUUUAUGGAAAUUGACUUUACAUGUGGAAAAUGCAAUAUUCAAAUGUGAUCAGCUUGUUGCUAAGCCAGUUUUUUUUAAAAUGCCUCAUAUUGUCAUUUCAGGUUCUUGAAAUCUUGGAACUAUACAGGAAAAUAUAUGAAGAGUUCCUUGCAAUUCCUGUUGUUAAGGGUAGAAAAAGUGAGCUAGAAAAGUUUGCUGGUGGUUACUAUACCACAAGUGUUGAGGUACUUAAUUUAGUUCAAUUGAAGAAUCUUUUGCUGCAUCAUAUGUAGCUGAUUUUGCAGUAAAUCAUUAUAUCUAUUAUCUACUAUGAUGCAUUGGUUUGUUUUUUCUAGUGUUUGAAAAUUACCCUCCUGUUUGCCAGGCUUUUAUUCCUAACACAGGUCGUGGAAUACAAGGUGCUACCUCCCAUUGCCUUGGACAAAAUUUUGCAAAGAUGUUCCAGAUAAAUUUUGAGAAUGAUAAAGGUGUAAAAGCUAUGGUCUGGCAGAAUUCUUGGGCAUACAGCACUCGCACGGUAAUUUUUUGUGCUGCCAUUAAUUAAAGGAUUUGUUGUUAUGCUGAUGAUAAAACAUAUUUUAGGACAUUCUUUAGAUGCAUUCACUGUUUUGGGAUAUGUAAUUUUAUAACAGCUGUUAUGGCAUUAGGAUAUUUUAUCUUCCAGUGACAGCUAACUUUUUUACACUUUCCUUUGGAGCUCUUUGAGAUAGUAGAAUCAUCCUUGAAUAGAAUUUGAUUUAUCUGAAAUUGUAUAGAAGACCGUUGUUCGCUGUUUGAUUCAGUUGGAGAGUCUAUGAUCAUUGUUGAUCAUUGUAUGGAAUAUAAUUUUCUUGACAAGAAAAAAUAGUGUUCCUCAAAACAUGAUUCAGGGUAGUCACUCUGGUGUUCUGGUACCUCUACAUCCCGAAUUGCCACUGGUCUGUGAUUCAGAUUGCUGAACAUGGAGUGCUAAAUAUUGUUUAGUUUUGUCGUUGUGAAACUAGUACAUGCUUCCUCUAAAAUUCACUCAGGAAAUGUCAAAAUAACAAAGCACCAAACAACUGAAAGCAUCAUACAAAUUAAAGCUUAUUAAGUUUAUUUAAUUAUGUUUUUUGCCUGUUCAAAUUGCAUCUCUACAGGGAGUAAAUCAGGGGGAGGGGGGGGGGGGGGUGGGUGUGUGUGCUUGGUUGGAAAGUGCAAAACACUUUUAAACUGUAAACAUAAAGCUAAUGACAAGCAAGGCUAAAAUAUUUUAAAAAUUGUGGUAAAUAAUACAGGGGGUUCAAUUAACAUCACUCAAAGAUGUUAUAUCCAGGGUUUGCUGUAGCAGUUACUGUAGAACUGUACAUCACUCAAAGUGCUACAGCACUGUACAUCACCCAGGUGUACCGCUCGGUAUACCGUACCGUACCGGUACCGAGCUCAGGUCGAAAUACCGGUAUGGUACUGUAUUGCGAACCUUGGUUAUAUCUUCUUCAAGGCCAUAAUUUCUGAACCAAGAGAAAUGUUAUAUCUUCUAAGUGAACUGGUAUCAUAAUCUUGUACAUCACUAUUCCAUGAUCCAGGUAAUUGUAAAAACUGUUAAAAUAGAAAAGAAGAUAGUUGUUUUACAAUUUAUAACUGUUGGUUUGAGAAGACAGUUAUGGUUUAACAAUUCAUAACAGUUGAUUUGAAAAUUCGAUCAUUUGUAUCUUAGGCUGCUCUGUGGUAAAUUAUAUCGUAAAAGAAUAAUUUUAACAGUGUUUUCUUUUUGCAAGAAAGUUGUGUAAUUUGUAAGAGUCUUUUGGUUUUUCAUAUGCUUGUAGAUUUCCGGAUGAUGAUAUGUAGUUUUUCCAGGAGUCAUAUUCUUGAUAUAUAAUGCCAUGAUAGUUGGAUUUAAAUGUAGUGUACGUAUCUUGAGAUUGGAUUCUUGUAUCUCUGGAAGUGGCAUUUUCCAUGCUUUUUCUCUGACAUGCCAAGUUUAGUUUUUUCUAUUGCCACUCUCUUUGUAUAAUCAUUCUUUUUUUGAACAAUCAUUCGCCAGACUUGGAUAUUUUUAACAUAACAAUCUGUUGCUAGAACAAGAUUCUAAUGGAUAGGUGUCCAUGGCUAACUAAUGGUUGUUCAUUUAAUUAUGUUGAUAUUAUUUAAAACUUGGUUUGUCUCAUUAAUGUGUGUAUGCAUUAAUGAUGAGGGCAUGAUUAAGCUUGAUUAGCACCAACUCCAUUUAAUAGUUUCCUAGUGGAAUAAUUUCUGACAAUAUGUAACAUAGUUAGGAAGCAAAUGUGAGUUAUCUGAUCUCUAGCUUUUCUGCAGAUUGGUGUUAUGGUGAUGGUUCAUGGAGAUGAUAAAGGCUUAGUAUUACCACCUAAAGUGGCAUCAGUCCAAGUGAUCGUCAUCCCUGUCCCUUUCAAGGAUGCAAAUACUGAUGCAAUCUUUAGUGCCUGCUCAUCAACAGUUCAGGCACUCCGUGAAGCAGGCUUUAGAGCUGAAGCAGAUUUAAGAGAUAACUACUCUCCUGGCUGGAAGUAUUCACACUGGGAAAUGAAAGGUGUUCCUUUGAGAAUUGAAAUUGGACCCAAGGAUUUGGCAAAUAACCAGGUAAACAAGGAGUUGAAAUAUCUGGGUCAAUCAGUAUGACUUUACUGAUCAAGAUUUCCUUUUGUUCACUUCAAUUGCAAAUUCAUUCAAGCACCAAAGUUCUUCCUUGUGGAUAUCAUUUGCUAGUGCUUCCACCCUAUGCAAUGGGUCAUAGGGAAAGUCACAUGGAACUAAUAUUUCUGCCUUCAUGUGUCUUUGUUAUUGUUUUGUUUUUAUGUUUUGAUGCAGCAAUAAUUUUAAUUUUACAAUCAAUAUCUUCUCCAAUUACUGUAUGGAUCCAAUCCUCAACAGUCUGAUUGUAUCUGGAAUUGAUGGUCAGAGCCGACGCAAGGCUGUUGGGUAUCUUCAUCUUUAUAUUAGACAGUUACUGCUUAGCAUGAUUAGUGUCUUCAUCCUAAUCUUGGUUGAUGUGGUUGUCAUGAAUGAUUGCUCUCAGGAUAACUGUUCUUUUCAUCUUCUGGAAUUUGUUGGAUUAUCUAAAAUGGUGCCAAGAAAGUUGUCCUUUUCUAGAGAUUCAAAACGGAGCAUUACGUUGUUCGAUACCUUUUAUCACUUUGGUGCCAUUAUUGUGUAAAACAUCUUGUAUUACCGAUUAGAUUUCUGUACCUAACAUCAUGGUCAAUAGACAAUCAUUGUCCAUAUGAUUGUAAAAGCUAGACAAAGUUACUGUUUAAAGUACGGUGCCAAUAUACAAAGUUACUGUUGGAGUUGUAUGAAGGUAAAAGCUAGAUUUUGAUAUAUUUGUUUGUCAGAAAUCCAUGUGUGGACUACCAUAGGAUUGGCAAGGAUAACUUUUUUAUUGGAAUUCAAUAAUUAAAAAAAUCAGGAAUCCAACCGAUGGAUUGAGAUAUUUUGUUCUGCUUAAGGUUUGAAACAGUGGCAGCAUGGUAUGUUCUGUGCCAGCCUAAACAUGUUUAACAAGGCAUGGUUAUAAUAUUAAAUAAUUGGCUUUCCAACUGCAUGGCUCAACAAGAGACUUCUCAGCCUAAGCAUCUCCUUUAUUAGAGAAGACUUAAACUUGUAAAGCAUGCAACUGCAUUGUGGUAUCGAAUCAGCAUAUACUCGAACCCAGGGAGUUGUUCUUUGACAUCCUAUUUUCGCUAGCAUAAUACAUGUCAUGUCUUGUUACAUUGUCAUGGUUACAAUUAUAUUUUAUGAGCUGCGCAAAUAUAGCAGGUUGCAUUUUACUACUGAAAGGCACUAGCAGUUCACUUUUUUUUUGCAAGCGUACAUUUGAGCUGCAUAUGGUUUGCUUAUGAGAACUUAAGCUAGUUUGCUUGAGUGUUUCUCGUAUCUUGUUUAGCAUUUUAUCGUAUGCAUGUCCUUUUUGUUUCUUAUAUGAUGGGAUAGAAAUCUUAUAUACAACUUACAGGUGCGGGUUGUUAGGCGUGACAAUGGUGCAAAAUCAGACAUACCAAUGGGCAAUCUGGUGGAAAAAGUGAAAGAGAUACUCUCAAGUAUCCAGGAAUGCUUGUUUAAUGCAGCAAAACAGAAGAGAGAUGCAUGCAUAAAGAUUGUCAAUACCUGGGAUGAGUUCAUAGCUGCUCUUAAUGACAAAAAAAUGAUCCUUGCUCCCUGGUGCGAUGAAGAGGUACAUCCUUAUCAUUAAGUUCAUUGGAUGAUAUUUCACAUGUUGUAUGUCAUUCAUGGUCAUUAUAUCAGUUGUGUAGUUGUGCAAAUAUGAUGAUGGCCAAUGGUGCUGUUGUGGGACAUAAGUGACCAAAUGCAUACGGAAGUAAAAGGCAACGAAAUAUAUUCAAUUGUAUUCACUAUGUAAACCUCCUUUUUUUGCUGAUGUAGCCACUAUACUGUUUUCGUAGCUGUUAUCAUCUGUUUUUUGCCCUCAAUGAUGGUACUUUUGUCAAUAUUGUGUUUUAGUGAUGUUAAAUUACAUGUUUCUGGAUGAUAAUUAUUAUAAGGGUUAAGGCCUUUAAAGAUUACUUGUUAAGACUGGAAGGUGGCAAGUUGUGAUCUGAAAGUUUCUAAUUUUAUGGUUACAUGUAUAUGCUUCUUUUUAAUUAUUAUAUUUUUAACAAAGAAAAUAAGAAGAGUUUCUGUUUUAUUUUGUUUCGUAUUCUAUGCCUACAGGAAGUUGAGAAGGAUGUAAAAGCUCGAACAAAGGGUGAACUAGGAGCUGCAAAGUCUCUAUGCACCCCAUUCGAUCAGCCAAGGCUUCCAGAAGGUACUCAUUCGUUUAGUACAUAAAUUGAUCAAGCUAUCUAACUAUACAUUAAGCACAAAGUCAUACCUUGAAAAGACCUUCCUGUCAUACCAUGUCAUGAUAUGAAAAACAGGAAUAAUCUGAACAAAAACCCCAAAAAAAUAAAAAAAUCCAAAGAAAUGAUUAUUUAAUGUGAAGUAUAUCAGUCGUAAAGGAUCAUGCAUGAAUCAUAGCAAAGCAAUAUAUGGUUCAUUGUUCAUCAAUCGACGUGCAUGAUUACCUAUCAUGAUCAUCAAUAGGUAAAUAUGUAAAUCAUCCAGCACACAUGCAUGCAAUAUUAUUAUAAAGGCACAUCCAACAGUGUCAUUAACAUACAUUAGGAUGGAUCACACAUCUUAUAGAACACCACAUCACCCAUGCAUUCACCAUCCAACAUUGGUGUAUAAGUUAGAACUUCUAGUUGAUGCACUUUCUCAUAGUUGAUAGAGAGUGGCCAUAUCAUAUUCUUACCUGAUCAGAAAUAUCUGGAACUUAAUUUGGAGGUUUCAAAAUCCUUUCAUUUUUGGGCUGUCUUCUUGGCCAAUGAGUUGGAUAGUUUUUUGUGCUCCAAGGAGCAAGGUGGAGCUUGUAUUAGGUUGCUUCAGUAAUAUAGUUUUGGCUUUUUGUUUGAGAAAAAAAAUCUUAUCCUCACAAGAGAACAUCUGGUUACCACCACCUCUGACUACUUGUUAAUCCUUAAAGAGAAUCAUGCUAUCAAUAUUGACUCAUCUGCCACCAAAAAGUUUGUUUCACUAUCAUCAUUUUCCAUGUAAUCACAUAUCAUGCAAAAUAUAAUAUUAUUAAUGACAUUAUCAUGAAACAUCUGGUGUACAAAAACAAGAUAUAGAUACCAUGAAUGAAAUAAGAUUAUGGUUGAUUGAAUUUCAUGAUUGUUACAAACCAGUCCUAAGACUCAUUGUAUUAUUUCCUUGCUGUCAAAAUGUAUCCGACUCUUACAGUUUAAGUUGAUCAUUCUAGAUUGUUGAUCCUUCUCCAUCGUAUAAAAGUACUACGAGAUGAGGUUUGUGAAUCUGGAUAAGUAUUAAUUUUGAUGUUCGAGGAUAAAGGGAGACUCAUAUCUAGAUUGUUGAUCAUUCUUUUUAGCUCUGUUGCUCGUCCAUCUAAUGAAUUAAAGAUCUGUUAGAACUUAUUCACUUAUAUGACUUCAACUGUCCAGCUCUUGCAGAUCAUGCUUUCCUUCAUGAAAGAAGCUUGUGCCAUCAUUCUUUUAGUUUAUUUUUAAUCACAGUAUCUACCUUGUACCAUUACCUUGAUCUUUUUUUUUUUUUGUCUUUGAUGAUGAUGCCCGACAUGAGAUUUAUCAUUCACAACUUUGUGCAGGAACUCUAUGCUUUGCCUCAGGAAAGCCAGCCAAGAAAUGGACAUAUUGGGGACGAAGCUACUAGGCAGGUUGAUUACAGAGAUCCUACUGUCGUUUAUUCUGGAGUUUGCAUUUUUAUGAAAACGAUUGCAAGUGUUCCAUACUUUAUUCUCCUGUAAAAGAUUUUGAAAGUUUUGAGUUAUUCCUGUUUGAAAAUUGGGCUGAUAUGCAAGCAGUACUUCAUGCAGUUGUUAGAUCGAGCUAAUCAUAUGUCGUCUAGUAAAAAAUAAAGAAGAAUGACGAGCUAGACCGAAUAUAUAGUUUCAGUCUGGAGAUGUUAGGAUUGAAUGUUUGGAGAUCCUAUAUUGCCACUUUCAUUUUGGUUCUUGAGUGCAAGAUUGAUUGGUCAAACAUUUUAAAUAAGGUUUCACCUGCAUGAGAUGUUCCGAAACGCAAUAUGUUCAUAAUUUGGCUUUAUCGUGUGGGCUGGUCGAUGGUCCUUUGUCAGUGAUGGUGUGCUCCUUAUUUGGUUCAUCUUUAUCUCUUAGAUGUGAGGAUACGGCCAUGGGGUAAACAUGUCGCUAUUAUGGUCUGAGAUAGAAAUAUUAAGGACUUGGCACUCGGAGAUCAUUGUGGGAUGAUUCUACAACUAUGACUAGUGUUUCCCAAUCAGCUGACGGGUAGUGUUUCCCAAGAGGUAUGCCGUAAUUGUACGUAUACAAAGCCAAUAUUGGAUUUUUAGGCACAGGGAGAGGUGUUUUCUUCCUUCUAGUUUUUACCGCCUUAUCCAAAGAGAGAGUUCUUUAUAUAUAUAUAUACAUAUAUAUAUAUAUAUAUGUAUAUGUAUAUAUACAUACAUAUAUAUGUGUGUAUAUAUACAUACAUAUAUAUAUANNNNNNNNNNNNNNNNNNNNUAUAUAUAUAUAUAUCUCGAGAAUAGGAGUAUCGAACACCUGGCAUCGAAACAUCAGCUUCCUUCGCUUCUGUUAUUUAUUUAUACCACCGAAGGAGGGGUUAGGAAAAGGAAAAAGAAAAGAGUUCCGGUGGGCGAGCGAUACGGGCGAAAGAGUCGGGCGGCCGCGACGAUGGAUUCUUCGAGCGGCGACAGCGGGCGAGGUGGAGGGACGUCGCUGCUGUCGGCGUGGAGCGCCGCCGCCUCCCGGCGGUACCAGCACCUGCUCGACAAGGCCACGCCGCACGUACUUCGGAGGUGGGCCGGGCUGGCCGUGCUGGCUCUCGUCUACGCCGCUCGCGUCUGGAUUGUCCAGGGUUUCUAUAUCGUCUCGUACGCCCUCGGCAUCUACGUCCUCAACCUCUUCAUCGCCUUCCUCUCCCCACAGGUCGAUCCCGAGAUCCAGGACCUCGUCGCCGGCCCCGGUCCCUCCCUUCCCACCCGUUCCUCUGAUGAGUUCCGCCCUUUCGUUCGCCGCCUACCCGAGUUCAAGUUUUGGUCAGUGCCGUGCACCAUUCUUUCUUGCUCCUCUUAUUUUUGAUCCUAUUUGAUCUCGCAAUCCUUUUUCUCGUGUGUCGACCUGUUAGAUUCAGAUCAAAUAUGUUAGAUCAAGUAAAAUCCUAUGCUAAGAAAGUAGAAGGCUAUAAUUGGUUGAUACGAGCUCUUGGCUUGAUCCCCUGCAUUGAUUCAGGAAAGUUAUUUGAUUUUAGCCUACCAAAGUUUUGCAAUGGAGUUGAAAUUUCUGAAGCAUGCAUGUGGUACAUACAUAAGUGUUGAAGAAAACUUUGUGAUAAGAGAUUCUAGAAGGAUUGGGACAAUCAACCAUAGAUGUUGGUGUUUCCUUUUUGUUUUUUUCUUUUCGCAGCAAAUGUUCUUUAGCAACUCCGGAAUGGCCCGAUCAAUUGUGACAUCGGUUAUCUUUUUCACAUAGGGCGUGUCUUCCUCUAGGUCAAGGUGUUUUCACAUAGGUAUAACCUUUACCUAUUUGACCGAUGGUGGAUUGGUUUUGACAAAAGACAAAAGAAUAUGCAAGAAUUGACUUUAAUUGUUAACUGAAAAUUCAUCUCAAUGCCUUUCAACAAGUUGCCUGCCUGAGCACUAGUGUUAUUGUUGAGUAGCAAUAAUGCUUAAUUGAACAGCACAGUCAUUUAUCCGCAUAAUUCAUGUGUUGGUUGACUAGGAGCUGAUUAACCAAUUAGAUUGAACUUUUUGUCUAAAUGAACAGAGAGCACUUGAUCACUUGCGACGAUUGCUAGAAACAUUGACUCUAGAAUUCUUUAUUUAAGGUAAUACUGAUAAUUAUAUGAAGCAUGAGGACCUAGGUAAUGUUACGGUUGUUUUUUUUUUCUUGUGCGAUGCGAUCAAGACUUAAGACAUAAAAACAACAUAAGACUGUGUAUAUUGUCUCUUCCCAAUUGCAUUGGUGGGGGCUUUGUACUUUGGGACCAUCCUUUAACAAUGAGACGAAGUGAAAAUGGAUCAGUAGUUAUAACAAAGGAGUGCUAUUAAGUUGCACCAGGCUAAGAUCCAAAUCUAUCCAAUAAAGGCUCACAAGUUCCAAUCCUGAAUCUGAAUCCCUCCCAUAAGAGGAUCUAAAUCAAAUCUUGAUUGCAGAAACUAUAACUAUUGGAUACCAUAUUUGGUAGCUUAGAUUUGGCUUGCUUUCCAUAUACAAUAAAUGCUAUUUGGUUUUGCUUUCCCCAAUCCAAUAUACAACCAAAGGUUAGCAAUAAAGGAACCAAACCGAUCAAAGUGCAUUGCUCAUUUGCAGUCUGUACCAUUUAUCAGUCAAACAUCUCAGAAAAUCUCGUAUAGGCAUUUUUAUAGAAAAACAAUACUUUGAUCUUUAUCAAAGACAAUUGUUUUAUGGAUUUACUCCAAAAGCAGAGUCCAAUAGUUACCAUUUACAGGUUGAGAUUCCAUACUCGAUAAAUAGCUUAAUAAAUCCUGUUCAAGAAUCCCUUACUUGAAAUCAGGUCAAAUUCAGAUUUGGACUAUCAGAUCCUCAGGGUCUUUGGCACCUGUAAAUUCAACCUUUUAUAGGCAUCAAAACUAUGAGGUGUUGGCAGUGAUAUGACAUUUACAGUAUGCUGACAUGGUUUCCUCGUGUCAUGCAGAUGCCAUCUCGUAUAAAGAUAAUAAAUGCAGCAUCUAGUAGGGUCCAAGUUGGUCCAUAAAUGAUGCACUUGGCAACACUUGGAUGACACGUCAACUUUAUGUUUGUCACCUGGCACUAUAGGAUUGGCAUGUCAGCUUACAUGAUUCCAUGCGGAUGACAGAUCAACUUGACUGCCUUGAUGUUUGUUACUCGGUACCACACAACAUGUUAGUUAGCACCAUUCUGUCGCCAUGAACAUUAGACCUUGGGCUAGGCCUUCCAAAUAGAUCAACUCCUAGGUGGGAAAGAAAACAGAGGCCAGUGUUAAAUUGCUAAACCACUGGUGAGGAAAGUGAAAAUUUCCCUUUGUAAUUAAUAUAUCAAUGCAGUAUAUUUAGAUAUUGCUUGAACUAUGUCUGUAAUAAUAUUUGCAUUCCCUGUUUUGUGAUUUAUUCUAAAUUUAUUUACAUGCUUUAAUAUGUUUGACGAGUAUUUAAGAGUGUUCAAGUUCAUCAUCCUAUAAGAUGGUAUGAAAUUCUAAAAACACAAUUUGAUAAUUUACUCGGAAAAUGAUCAGGUAAUUCCAUACAUUGAUAGUUGCUCUGAGCCUCUUGACUUCUGCCUGAGUGUAUAUGCUACCACCCAAGUGUAUAUUUGUUUUCACCCAUGGUUUACGAACCUAUUCGUUGAACAUGAUCUAUUCUGAUGAUGGAAAAAUACUCAUUUCAGGUCCCACUCUGAAAUCCCUCAUCCAACCAAAUUUUAGUGAUAUCAAUACCUUAGUGCUUUUUCUAUUUCUAUAGAUAGUCACUUCCUUUCUACUUGUCAUAAACCUAGUACCAUCGCUUACCUAGAACAAGUGUGACAAUUUUUAUUUCAACACGCUCUACUGCUAAUAACAUUUUGACGUUACAAACACAUCAUGAUGUGGCAUCAUGUCGUGCCCAUGAGUAGUAUGUGCGUGGUGGGCACAAAAUUGGUACAGCAAGUUACAAUUGUCAUAGGCAAACCAUGAUUCAGACCCACAUAACUGCAGCUAGUGUUCCUUUCCAAAGGAUGGAACAAUUGCACAUCCAGUACCUUGCUGGUUUAGUUGUGUUAUCAUGGCAGAAAAGCAUGAGUAUGGUGCAUGAUACUCAUCAUAAUGACACUGUUUUGAAGUAGUAGUUGAAUAUAUUUUUUCUAAUAUGAUCAUAUUGCUGAGAAGUUAGAUCAUUUGUCUAGACUGGUUGUGAACUAGUAGUUGUCUUUUCUUUCAUUCUUUUGCUCUUUCUUGUCGGUUUCUCUCAUGUUCUUGUUCUGAAAGAUGUAAAUGCAGUUCUUUUUAGUGUCCAUGGGUAACAUUCUUUCAGUGCAGGCAUUCCAUUACAAAAGCGUUUUGCAUUGCUUUCGUAUUGACGUUCUUCAGUGCAUUUGAUGUGCCUGUAUUUUGGCCUAUUCUGCUCUUCUACUGGUUAGUGCUGUUCACAGUCACGAUGAAGAGACAGAUUCUUCAUAUGAUUAAAUACAAAUAUGUUCCAUUCACCUUCGGAAAGCAGGUAUUUUAAUGCUUCUAAACACAGAUGAGAUAUCGUUCUCUUAAACAAGUAUCCUGAUUAAUCGUCUGAUCUCCUAUUUCAGCGUUACACUGGGAAAAAAGCAGUCUCCACCGAUGAUGCGACUCUUCCGAGCGAUUGAACUGCAUGUUUGUAUGUUAAGCUCGAAAGAAUCCCAAGUUGAAACCCUAGUUAGAACGAAGAGGUCAAAAUGGUCUAAUCAUUGUGAUCUAUAUUAUGCUAGGAGCUUUCUAUAGUUCAACCGAGUUGGAAGAACCUGAUGUUGAGUGCUCUGUUACAUGUCAAUGUGUGAGGCUUACAGAUUCCGAUGGGUCUUCUGGUCUCUUGCAUUUUGUUUUACCUGUUGAACAGCAGCUACAUUUAUCAUUCAGAAGACACCAUAUGUUUUGAUGCUCUUCGUCUUCCUACAUGUUUGUUAUUACUAGGCACAGAGACAGCAUCAACUUCGUUUCUCCAAAUCUUUACUUAGGCUAUUUGUUACCGCGUUGAAGAGUGUAUUUAUGUUCUUUCCAUAACAUCGAAUUGCGCGAGUGGAUUUCAAUCUUUUCAAUUCGGAUUCCAUUACUAUAUAAUUAAUUCAUUAAAGGAAGAAAACAAUUUAAUCUUUUAAGGAUAUUUUAGGAAAAAUAAACUUCUCCCCUUCCCAAUUGUGUGGACUUUGGACAGAAUGAACUUUCUAGAAGAAAUAACAUAGAGAAGUUCCAAGACUUUUCGUGCAGUUUGAGGGCGUCACGACCUUUCUUCGCGUUCAUCCCAUCGAUUUCCCGCAUUGUUUCCCCUCCUCCUCUUAAUACGCGUUGACUUGACUUUCGGGUCGUCGCUUCUCCCUUAUUAACGUUUCUUCCGUUAAUAAACUCCCACCUUCUCUAUCUCUUCUCGCCUCCGAUCUCAAUGUCGUCCGUCUCUGGAAUCCAAGGCCACAUCCUUGAGGUCACCGGUAACUCCGCCUGAACCUUUCCCCCUUCCUCGUUUUCGUUAAUCCUUCUUGACGAUAUGUGUAAUGAUCAUUCUCUCUAUUCGAUUUUGUUGUUGUUGUUGCUGCUGCUGCUCUGGGGGGGAAGUGGUUGGGUGCACCAAAUUGAGGGACACCGAGCUGUUCUCCCGCCAAGAUCCUUACGUCUGCCUUGAAUACGCCAAUUCCAAGUUCCGCACUCGCACCUGCACAGGUUUGUUCUUUGAUUCAUUCCCCUAAUGUUUUCUUGAUCUGAUGAUCGGAAGGCGCUUAACAAAAGCUGGAUUUGGGUUCCCAGAUGGCGGCAAGACCCCCACGUUCCAGGAGAAGUUUCAGAUACCCCUCAUCGAGGGGCUCCGUGAGAUCAGCGUGGCUGUGUGGAACAGCAACACCUUCACCGCCGACGACUUCAUCGGCAGCGCCAGGUUCCCAUCUUGUCCUCUCCCUUCAUCCUUUUCUUACUUGGUAUUUGGUCGAUUCCUCGCGCUCUCUCUCCCUCUUUCUGUUAAUCAAAUUAAGGCUUACUCGGUAAACAUGCUCAAUUUGUUCUGCUCCUAUAACCGAUCGUGAUCCGUAGCUUGUUCUUUGCUAGUCAAAUUAGGGUUUCACCAUUUAGACGAUGACAUCAAUUGGUUUUCCCUAUUUACAACCUGGCUCAUAGUUCAGCUAGAUUGGCUAUGAUCUCUGUGAAUCAAGAUACUGAAACAUGGAACUCGAUCCUUCUUGUGCCCAGGGUUCAAUUGCACAAGGUCCUCUCCCAGGGUUAUGAUGACACUUGUUGGCCACUCCAAACCAAGAAUUUCAAGUAAAGACUGUUCUCUCAAUUUUUGCUACUCUGCUAUUAGGUUAGAGCUUUCUUCCCAUCAUAUUGUUUUUGCAGAUUUGCAGGAGAGGUGAAGCUCAUCAUGCACUUCCAAAAUGCAUUAGUAAGUUCGGUUCGAUUAUUGCUUGUAAAUUCCCACUAGAGAACACAAGUAACUUCAAUUUGUUGCAUCGAUGAGCAGCACAAGACCCCCGCACAUUGUGCUCCGUCCGCCCCACCUUACAUGUCGCCGCCGCCGGUGAUCGCGGCAUAUGCCCCUCCUUAUGCUUCUCCUUACACAGCUGGAGCUUAUCCUGGAGCUGCCUCAUAUGCUUCGUAUCCCCCACCUGCGGCAGCACCGUAUCAGACUAGUGUAUAUCCAACUCCACUACCGCAACAAUUCUACGCACCCCAAUCGUAUCCUCCUCCUUCCUAUCCGCCGCAGCCCUACAUGCAGCAGUACCCCCCGUCGCCGGCACAACCUUACUAUCCACCAGGUAAGUCUCAAAAGAGGAGCAUCGAUUGAGGAGAUUCCUGAGCACAAUGUAAUUACCUGGAACUCUUUUUGCAGGGCCUUACCCGGGUUCUUAUCCUCCACCUUACUGAUUGGGAGAUUAAUGGUGCUAGUCUUGCAAUUCAUUUCUUCUUCGUGCACCUCCAAAUCAAGUGGUGGCUUCACGGUAGAUGAUUUCACAGUUAUGUUUCUCUCCUUGUUUGGUGAUUCAGCUGCGUACCUGCGGAUAAAGUUAAUACUAAUUUUUGGUGAUUCAUAUGCUUCUAUUAUUAUUAUUUUUUUUACUUUUGUCUUUGAAUUUGAAAUUUGGAAUGCAUUAAGUGCCUAUCUUACUCUUCAGUUUUAUUUGAAGCCAUGAAGGCUCUUUGGGUCAUAGCGUUUUGUUUGCAAGUGGAUUGCAACCACGAAGUCCCAUCCCUACUUCUUCUCCUCCUCUCAGUGGUUCAUCACAACCACUUGUUCCAGAACACCCCAGUCGUCUUCCUUUUGUUUAGCUCAUGGCUCUUGCAUUCACGCUGUGUCGGAGGACAAACGAGUGCAGAGCCGCAGCAGCAUCGGGCGCCGAAGCCGGAAGAGUCCGACCGGAAAAAGCCGUCGAGGACGUGGCUUUUAUCCUUAGUUUCGGAAGGUUUUGCCUUGGUGGUAUCUCUAUCCGGUAGAUUCACGCAGCCGAAGGACACUAGUCUGUCACUUUUGGCUGUGUGUUUGGGAAGACGAUGAGGUAAAUGACUCGAGUGCGUUCGAGCCCUGUGGGGGAGUCUGUGUCCAUUCUUGUCCCCUUCUGAGCGGUUCUUUUUCAUGCUCGAUUAGUAAGUACAUUAAACAUACCUCUUCGAUCUGGAGAUAAAUAAUGUCGAAUUAACAGUGCUUGUGAGAUCUGAUAUACUACCACUUGCCACUUGGUAAACCCAAACUAGUUUCUUUGGUAGAUGCUUAGCGGCGGGGAACAAUGAUUUGAUGUUGUUGCUGUUCGUGCCCGAGAUGGGUGGAAAUCAGAAAUGAAAAGAUUGCUUGUCUUAUUCUCUUGGAAACAUCCCUGUUAUACAAACUUGAUUGAGCCAAACAGAGAAUAGAUACAUGCAAAAGGCUAAAAAGUGAAAAGUAGCACAGGCACUCCGAGUACAAGGCAAUUUAACUUGCCUGGAUUCAUUUCACAUGAUGUGUAUAGCAGAUUUGCAGGUACAUCUCUUAAUAGCUUUACUAUUAUGUGCAGUCGAGUCAAGUUUUCACGUUCACCAAUCGAAUCCAGCAAACCAAAUCAAGGAUCUCUGUUCUUGGAAUCAGUGUGUGGAGUCCUCCUUCUUCAUCUCCUAGUUACUUUCUCUUCUUCCAUCCCUGUUUUAGCUCAAAUAGUGUUGGGAUCUGAAGUUACAGAUGAAGUGAAUGUUCUCUUCCAGAAGACGGUUGAAGUAAUCUGUUCAUUCACGUGCCAAUACUACCUACAGAUCGAUAGCUCAAUAGGUCCUUUUCCUGUGUCACUUUCCUGCUACACAAGAAAGAGAAAGAGGAGGAGAGAGAUGGAUUGCUGUGCUAUCACCAAAAUGAAAUGGAAAGUGGUGUAAUAAUUGUCUAUAGAAGACAAACCAAAUCUAUGGAGAAUAAUAGACUCCAGAAAGUCCCAACCUCGAUCAAAAUUGAGUUGCAUGCAAUGACAGUGACGCAGGAAUGCCAUCAAACCAAAGACAUGGAAUUUUCCCAAUCAUAGCAUCAACUUGGUCACCCAAAUCUUGGUGGCAAAAGGGCAUAUGUAUUGGAGAGAGAGAGAGAGAGAGAGAGAGAGAGAUGUGCAGAGUGGUUUUAUUACACAGAUUCUGCAAAGGAGAUAUAACCCAUAAAGAUUUGCCUGUUUUGGGGGGAAAGAAGGGUGAAAAGGUCACAACCUCAGUCCAUCUACAAUUGUAGGAAGACAAAAUUCACUUGCCUCCAAUUGAUCAUACAAAUCAAUGUAAACCCUCUGAGACAUUAUAACCUACAACAGUUGAGGCCGGGAUGCAUCAGCCACAAACAGCAAGGCCAUGAAAAGUUGUGCUGCCUCCAACCAUUGGCACCUCCCAACACUGUCCCUUUGUAUUGAAUAAUAAUCUCAUGCAUCAAAAGCUCUAUACAAAUUAAGCAUCAUAGGCUAAGCCUACCUUCCCUGCACCCAACACCAGACGGUGCUACUUCUCCCAUAAAGAUUCCCAACACUUGACCAUCGUAGUAAAUGCAUGGUCCCUUCAGCCCUCCCUCUUCGAUCUCUUUCCGCAAGAGAUGACAUAGGAAGUGGAAGAGGCCCAACAAGCACACUAGUCCUUCGAGAACGUGAGCAAAUCCUCCACAGUUAACGCUGAUCUCAUGCGGAGAGUGAGAGGCAGAACACCAGAAGACAUUACAUCCUUCCUCCUCCCUCUUGUCCUUGUUUUCCUUGGAUCCACCUUCAUCGGCUCACUAGGUUUGCCGCCCAUAUCCCGCAGGUCAAUCCCCUCUCCCAUGUCUUCUUUCCGACAGCAAGAUUCCCCUACAGCCCUUUCCCUCCCUCUCUCUCUCUCUCUCUCUCUGGCUUUUCCUUUUUUCCCUGCGGUGUUGCCUGGGAGGGAGGUUGUUUUGACUAUUCUUUCUGUGUCUGUGACUUGGUUCCAGGUUAAAGCUUUGAGGCUGCUUCAGGCAGUGGAUGCCCUCUCGAUGAGCUGUGGUCUUAUUUUAUAGCUUCCAACAGGCUAAUCCAAUCCCCUCCUUUUGUUUGCUCUCUUCCCCAUGACCUAUCUCACCUCAGAGUCACAUGCAUUGUUCCCAGCUGAAGCUCCAGUCCAGUUUUUUUCUUCCUCUCUUGGCUUAUAGCUCAAGGUUUUUUGAGGCCACCCUCCCCCUGCAGACAUACGUUCCAGGGGUUCGUUCACAUCACAUCCCUCUUCUUCUUCUUCUUCUUGUAGCAGCCACUGAGACAUGAGUUGCUCCAAAGCAUCACCAACAUGAGCUCACAAGGGAGUAGGCUGCAGAGCAAAUGGCAGGCUACUACUAGAUCUCUUCCACCGCUGCUGACGCUUCUUGUCCUGGUAAGCCCAGUGCUGGCCCUCGGCCAAGAUGGAGUGCUGCUGCUCAAGUUCAAGUCCUCCAUCCUCAGCGACCCCCUCGCCGUGCUCCGCGACUGGAACUACUACGACGCCACGCCGUGCUCGUGGAAUGGAGUCGUGUGCAUGGGUUUCCCGGACGCAGCCGCUAUCACCUGGACUCCUCCUCCUCCUCCUCCUGCUGCUAAUACUGGAGGCGGUGGCAAUGUUCAGGUCCCCACGGCUUCCAGAGUGAUCGGCUUGGUCCUGCCCAACUCUCGGCUCUUGGGCUCCGUCCCCCCCGAGCUCGGCCUCCUCGAACACCUUCGCCACCUCGACCUCUCCGGCAACAUGCUCAACGGCACCCUCCCGCCCUCCCUCUUUGACGCUUCCGAGCUUCGCGUGCUCUCGCUGGCCAACAACGCCAUCUCCGGAGAGCUCCCGGAGCUCGACGGGCGCAUGAGCAGCAGUUUGCAGGUGCUCAACCUCUCCGACAACGCAUUGAUCGGCAGGUUGCCGGCGAACCUUUCUCGGCUGCCGAACCUCACAGUUGUGUCCCUCGCCAAUAACUACCUGUACGGACAACUUCGCGGCGGCGGGUUCUUGCGGCUCCAGUACUUGGAUCUCAGCUCCAACCUCGUCAAUGGCUCCUUGCCGACGGAUCUCGGUGGGCCGAGGCUCCGGUACUUGAACCUGUCAUACAACCGCCUCACCGGCGCAAUCCCGCUGGAGCUGGGGGCGACGAUUCCGGCCAACGCCACGGUGGAUCUGUCGUUCAACAAUCUCACCGGAGAGAUCCCGCAUGGCGGCGCUUUCGCCGCGGAGAAGCCGAUGGCGUUCGUGGGGAACCCGAGUCUAUGCGGGAGGCCGCUCAGAAACCCGUGCGCCAUCCCCUCCAUUCCCUCCACCGUCUCCGACCAUCCUAAUUCUUCCGUCGCGGCUCCGCAGAAGGGCAAGUCUCCCCCAGCCUUCGCGGCGAUACCCAAGAACACGGACGGGACCUCGCCUGCCGGUGGCGGGCAAAGCUCGGCAGGGCGAGGGACCCUCCGGCCGUUUGCUGUGAUCGCGAUCACGGUCGGGGAUUUGGCCGGCGUUGGGAUCCUUUUCGUAGUGUUCUUGUAUCUAUACCAUGUGAAGAAGAAGAAGAAGACGCAAGAGCAGCGGCAGCAGAAAGAAGUUGGAGGCGUAGGGCUGAAGAAUGAGCCGCCGCCAACAGCAACAACGGCAUCCCCUGAAUCCAAAACCAUAGGGCUGUUGUCUUGCUGUUUGAGAAAGAAAGGCGGCGGCGACGGAGGUGACACCGAGGAGACAUCGGAGACUUCGGGAUCCUCCGAGACGGAGGGAGAACUGGAAGAAGCGCCAAAGGGAGAAAAGGACGGUGAGGACGGUAGAUCCCACUCGCAGCAGAAGCUACAAGGGGCUACUCUUGUCAUGGUCGACGGCGAGACAGAGCUGGAAAUCGAGACAUUGCUCAAAGCCUCGGCUUAUAUACUCGGCGCCAGUGCGUCCAGCAUCGUCUACAAGGCGGUGCUCGCCGACGGCACCGCCUUGGCCGUCCGCCGCAUUGGGGAGGGCAGCGUCAUCGGCAAGUUAAAGGAUUUUGGUGCUCAGGUCCGCAGCCUUGCCAAAUUCCGCCACCCGAACCUCCUCCGCCUCCGGGGAUUCUCCUGGGGCGCCGACGAGAAGCUUCUCAUUCACGACUAUGCCCCCAACGGUAGCCUCGCCAACAUCUCUCUCAGCAGUAUGUCUCUGUCUUCUUUUGCCGUCUCUUUUCUACGAUGAAGUUUGCUUCAUGAAUCAGUGGAUUGAGUCCUGUGUACUUGCCCGAGUGUUUACAGAGAAGCUCGGCUCGUCGCCGUUGCAUCUGAGCUGGGAGGCACGACUCAGAAUAGCGAGAGGCGUGGCGAGGGGGCUCGCCUACAUCCACGAGAAGAAGUGCUCGCAUGGCAAUCUCAAACCGAGCAACAUUUUAUUGGAUUCAGACAUGGAGCCAAAGAUCGGAGAUUUCGGCCUGGACAGGGUAAUGUUGGGCGCGGGCGCGUCGGCCCGGCAAUUCGGGAGUAAGCGGUCGAUGCACUCUUCGAUCAGCUUGCCAGAUCUGUCCUCGGUCGCCGGAGCUAGUCCUUCCGCCGCAAGCGGCUCCUCCUCCUCGGCACUCGCACCUCCGCCGUAUCAGGCGCCGGAGUCCCUGAAGAACCUGAAGCCCAGCGCCAAGUGGGACGUUUACUCGUUCGGGAUGGUGUUGCUGGAGCUGGUUGCCGGAAGAGUGUUCUCGGAGGUGGAGCUCUGUCACUGGAACGCAGGGCUUGUGGUGGAGGAGAGGAACAGGCUUCUGAGGAUGGCCGACGCGGCGAUAAGAGGGGAGGUGGAAGGCAAGGAGGAGGCUCUGCUGUGCUGCAUCAAGCUGGGGUUCGCUUGCUGUGCCAUGGCACCUCAGAGGCGGCCCUCCAUGAAGGAGGCAGUCCAAGUGCUGGACAACAUCUCUCCGCUUCCGCUUCCGCAUCCACAGUCUGCCAACGUUCUGCUGUCGAAUCAUAGCAAAUGCAAUCCGUGAUGCCAUUGACCUUUCGACUGCAACACACACUGAUUUGUUCCUCUUUGAUGUGUUCAAUAUAUGAGUCGUUCUUCUUGUUUUCCUUAGUGUGAGUUGACGACCAGCCUUCCGUUUUGGUUGUGACUAAAUGAUUAGAUUGUGGUCACUCUGCACUGCUUUGUAUCGAUUAGGCAGCGAAGUAGAACUCAGAGUUCUUCCAUGUUUCCCAGAUUCGAGUCUGCAUAGUUACUGCCAAAUGCAGAUACACCACCAUCUUGCUUCACCGUGAAAAGAGAAGCUCAAUUCCCAUUCUUUUUUAUAGAGAUAUAUGACAAACUUUAAGGACUCGAAUUAGAUUUCUUUGCUCUUUCUUUUCGUUUAAGAUCCGUAGUCAAGGGAAGAACAGCUGCUCAAAGUCAUCCAUGCAACAGAGGAAAGAGCAAAAGAAGACAUAAAGAGGAUGGAACUCUUUCCAAUGUCAACAAGCUUUCUCAAGGUACAGUAUACUGACUAGAGCACCGCAUCAGUGACCGCUCAGAGCAAAGAAGCUAAGCAUCGCCAUCAAGAGACAGAGAGCAGCAUUGGCAACAUUUGCAGGCUGGCCACUCGGAGGAUGUUGAGUCGUCGGUGAAGUGACCGGCGCCUUCUCGACGAGAUCUGCCACCGGGGGCAGCGGCGGAUCCACAACGUCAGCGACCUCCAGAACUGGCGCAGGGGCUUCCGCCGGAGGCGCCGCGUCUGGUGAUGCCAGCGACAGCAAAGUACCGGGCUCUGCUGGUAAGAUCGAGUACGGUAGGUUGGCAUUCAAGUCAGAGCAUGGGCUCUCUGCAACAUCAAAAGGGCAUAUCCCAAGCACCAAAUCUUAGAUUGCCAAGACAGCAGCAAGAUUUCUCCUUGUCAGCUAAAUCGAAGUAAAAGAAGAUACUCACUGAGGUAUGCAGCUGCCGUGGCUGGGAACUCGGUCACGACGCCGUCAACUCCGACACCUGCAACGUACGUAGCAAGCUCCACCAUCGGGUCGGAGAAGUAAUCAAACGCUAUGGUCAAGAACUCGUUCCUCAGCACCGAGACGUAAACCGAUAUGUUAGCUGCGUGCAUCUGGUCAACCACGUUGGUGAAGGCGGAGACGAAGAAGCCCGACGCGGCGACGAUGGACGAUCUAGGAAGGUUGACCGCGUCAGCGAACUGCUUGAUCUCCUCCACUGUUGGCUUUGGAGCGUCGCUUAUCGUCUCCUUGACGUGGAGCACUCGCUGGUAUCCAGAAUUCUUCUUGAAUGCAGAGAGGACCGCGGUGUCGUCGGACUGGAUGUACACUUGCUUGUCGUAACUGGCAUUCCUCAACGCGGUGGAGACUGCGUCUACCGCCCCAAGUCCUUUCUUCGAAGCAAGGUAAGCUGCGUUCUGCAGGAUCAAGAUGACGAUGAGUGAAUGGAUGACUCGAACAAUCCAGAUCUGUGCAGUAUUCCAAAAAGAUGACCACCUCUAUGUUGAUCAAGAUUCCAGAGACGGUGCUCUUCUUCGCAAACUGCAAGAAGUCAGCCAGCGUCAUGAACUUGCCCUCACUUUUCGCUGCAGGAUUUCUUGCCAAGCCGGACUGAGACAUGGGGCUCGUCAAUGCCGCUACAGGAAGAUAACCAAAACCAUGGGAUCGACAUUCUCGGAAUUAGAUUUCUAAUGGUGAACAGAGUAAGGUUGCUUACGCUUCAAGCUUUGGAUCUCGCUCCAUGUGAGAUCAAAGGAGAAGAUUCCAUUGUUUUGCUGUAUCUCGGGAACCAUUGCCGCUCGCGGCAUGAACGCAGCAGCUGCGGUUGUGUCGCCCAUAAGAUCUGCCGAAUCCAAGCAAAAGGCAACUCCAUCCUUUGACAUCUGAAUCGAACAGUCAAGAACAUCAGCUCCAUCUUCCACUGCUCGUUGAUACGCGACAUCAGUGCAUCCAGCAAACAUUCCACUCGCACCAUUGUGUGUUAUGAUUAGUGGUCUCCCUGCUGCAUCAAGAUCAAAACAAGUAAAUGACUAGAAUUCUGUGAUCGUAAAUUGCCUUAUAAUUAACUAUGUUUACCUUCGGUAGGGAUAGGUUUAUUCUCGUUAUGUGCCAAGCAAGCUGCAGCAUGCAAACGAGACAGAGAUAGUAAGCAGUCUACAUCGACGGAGAAGCCAUCGACGGACGAGGAGGAUAUUGGUUACCUACGGCUUCUGAGGCCGUGGAAGGGAAGUCGGUAAGCACGCCAUCGACAGAGAAGUUGGAGUUGCUAAUAAACUGCAGGUACUCCACGGUGGGAUCAUAGCUGUAGUUGUAGCUCGCAGGGGCAUCAUUGGCGAAGUCAUAAGCGUAGACUUCCAAACCCACACCAUGAGCAUCUGUGACCAAAGAAGUGUGAGCCUCCAGAUACUGGUCUUUGUUGACAGGCCAUAUGUAGCUUUUGGGCACGAGAAUCCCAGAGGCAAAUGACUUGAUGGUGACAAGAUCGUUUAGGAGAGCUUGGUAUGUUUUCUUCGUGGAGGGCUCGACAUCAUCCACUUCCAUGAACCGGAAGAUGAGCUUCGUCUUGUGUCUCCCCGGCAAUCCGCUCAGACUCUUCAGGAACCCUAUUUCUGGAGAAGAGAUGCAAUCUAUGAUCGUUUCCCUUGAUACUGAUCUAAUGUAGUCCACUGCGUCCAAGUCAUGUUCCUUGAAGAAGGUGCUGUACUGCAUGCAGCAGAUUGGAAAGGAGUUAAUGUCGGUAACGCACAAGUAGCUGAUGAAGAACCAGAAAUGCUGUUCAUCGAGAUCAUGUACCUGCACAUUUACCCAAAGCUGGUAAGGGUGAAGCCCCGCUACAUCUUCCACCAUGGAUACCGGCAGAUUGCCAUCGAACACGCUUGGUCGAGAAAAGAUACUUUGGAUCACUUCAAAGCAAGAGUGGAGAAGAAACAUUAGAUGAUCCAGUCAGAUGAAUAGAUGGUGCAGUGCUGCACUUGAAGAACUGGUGUACUCACAUGUGACGUUGUUAUAUAGUUGAUCCGAGGUGAAAUCAAUGGAGAACCAUCCUUGAACAGGCCGCCCAUUCACAGAAUAAGUAGUUCUUCCUUUUGGGAAGACAGCUGAGAUGGUUGUGGAAUUAUCGAGUCUCAGAUCCGAGUGGCAGAUGCCAGCCCCAUCUUUGGUUAAUUGGAGAUCACAGUACAAAACGACGUUCUUCAAGCUUGUUGACUGUGCAAACUGGUACGCAAAUUGGCUUGAUUCGGGGAAGAGUCCGGAGAAGCCACCGCGUGCUAUGACUGCAGGAGCAUUACCUGCGACAUGGACAGGAAGAAGAACACAUUCUUUACACCUUGCAGCCUCUUAGUAUGGCCUAUUACGACCCUGAGAUGGAAGGAAGCCAUGAUCGUACCGCUCAAGGUCUGCCAUUUCGUGGGAGAAACCACAGCUGCUGCAGCUCCAUGGAGAAGCACGAUAAACAGAAGCACAUUCAGCUUCAUUCCUCCAGUUCCAGAGACGAAGUCCUGCAACUCAUACAACAAGAUCGCUGUAGGACGAAACUUGCUUUGUUCAUGCAGAUAUGGCAUCGGUAAUAAAUAAUCCAGAAAACCAACCUUGGGACUCGAAGAUUCUUUUGGUGAGCACCCAAAAUGGAGGCAAGGUUUCCUGGCUCCCAGGAAACCCACCACCUCCAGGAAAACAGAGAGGAUGUUAGAACAACGAUCCUACUCGUGCAUCAGAACACAUCAACGAAUUUAUUUGUUGGAAUGUGUGAGGAAAAGAAAAGGUAAUGGACGAGCUUAAAUUUCUCCCCGUCUUUCCCUCUCUCUUCUCUUGGAAAGGCACUUGUCCUCUGUUAGGCAUCCGCCAUCCUAUAAGCUCUCGCCCUCGCUUUUUGUGGAAGGCGUGGUGGUUUGACCUGGUCAACAUCUUAUGCUGAUGAUGAUGCUAACCAUGUAACGGUAUCUCCGUUCAAAGGAUGACUCGACCAUGCCGUGUAGCAGAAUCAUUAUUAUUAUUAUUAUUAUUAUUAUUAUUAAAGAACACGUGGCAUGGUUAACGACCGAUAGAUCCACGAGCCCAAGAAACAGAAGAGCGUCGGCUCGAUCGCAUUCAAGUUGUAUAUAUAUCAUCUCGAAGCUUCGCGAUACCCAAACCGUUCCCUUGCUGUUCUUUUAGCUCUCCAUCAUCUCUCCUCACUCGGAGCCGUCGACGUCCUCCGCCCUGUCGUCUUUCACCCCAAACCUAAUCUCUGGGUGCCGCCGCUGGCGAUAAUCUCAAGAGGUUGGAUCUUGUUCCAUAUUUCUUCUGCCUCCGGUAAUCUGGUUAUCAGUUCUUAGGUAUAGUCUUCUUGGCCGGUAGGGUAACUACGGUGGUUUGUUCUGUCCUUUUCUCGUUCUUUGGUUAAGGCUAAUGUUCUUUCUUGCGACAUGAUGCAUCCGAAGGCAGUAUUUGAUUUCGUUUGUUUGGUCUUUUGCGAUGUCAAUCGUCUGGCUUCUGGUAGUCUUGAUCUUUCUAGCACCCAUGUUUUAAUGGACGCCUUAAGGAAAAUUUCUUGUAGGGUUUGUACUUGCAAGAAUCUUGAUCUUGAUGCUCAGAAGGGAUCCUCAAACUCUAAUUGCUAUUGUGUCUUCGCCAUAAGUCGUGUUUGGUUUCUUGAUGUGUGUAUAUGUACAUGCAUCACGAUAAAUGAUCCCUCCCUUUUACCCUAUUUUAAGGUUGAUAACUUUUGUAUAGUGUAUGGCAAAAGAAUUUAGAUCUUCAAGUUUGGAAUUGAAGUCUAUAAUACAUUUCUUGUUUUGCAUCUAUUUUUUUAUCACAUUAUACGAUUGGUUCACAGUUAGGCCUAUAUUGAUGGAUUUAAAAAUAUGCUCAAAUGUUUUGUGCGUAGUCAGUCUUUUGAAAAGACGAUUGACAUCUCAAGAGGUCGGAUCUUGUUCCAUAUUUCUUCUGCCUCUGGUAAUCUGGUUAUGGGUAGAGUCUUCUAGGCGGUAGGGUAACUGCGGUGGUUUGUUCUGUUCUUUUCUCGUUCUAUGGUUAAGGCUAAUGUUCUUUUUUGCGACAUGAUGCAUCCGAAGGCAGUAUUUGAUUUCGCUUGUUUGGUCCUUCGCGAUGUCAAUCGUCUUUGUCCUCUCGUAAUCUUGAUCUUUGUAGCCCACACGUUUUAGUGGACGCCUUAAGGAAAAUUUCUUGUAGGGUUUGUACUUGCAAGAAUCUUGAUCUUGAUGCUCAGAAGGGAUCCUCAAACUCUAAUUGCUGUUGUGUCUUUGCCAUAACUCAUGUUUGGUUUCUUGAUGUGUGUGUGUACAUGCAUCACGAUCAUUGAUCCUUCCCUUUUACCCUAUUUUAAGGUUGAUAAAUUUUGUAUAGUGUAUGGUAAAAGAACUCAGAUCUUCAAGUUUGGAACACAAGUCUAUAAUUGGUUCAUUGGCAUCUAAUUCUUAUCACAUUAUAUGAUCGGUUCAUUGGCAUGUGUAUGUGUUAAUAGUCACAGUUAGGGCUAUCAUGAUAGAUUUAAAAAUAUGCUCAAAUGUUUUGUGCGUAGUCAGUCUUUUGAAAAGACGAUUGACAUGUCAAGAGGUCAGAUAUUGUUCACUAUUUCUUUUCCCUCUGGUAAUCUGGUUUUGAGGUCUUGGGUAGCAUCUUCGUGAAACGUAGGGUAACCGGCGGUGGUGUGUUAUGUCCUUUUCUCGUUCUUACUUGAUUUCAGUUUAUUUGGGUCGUUCACGAUGUCAGUCGUCUUUUGUCCUCUGGUAAUCUUGAUCUUUCUAACCCCCACGUUUUAAUGGAUGACUUAAGGAAAAUUCUUGGCAAACACAUGUUUGCUUCAACGUAGGAUUUGUACUUGCAAGAAUCUUGAGCUUGAUGAUCAGAAGGGAUCCUCAAAUUCUAAUUGCUAUUGUGUCUUUUCCAGAAGUCUAUGUUUGGUUUCUUGAUGUCUGUGUAUAUAUGCACAUGCAUAUACACAUAUGGUGGUCACGAUCAUUAAUCCCUCCCUUUUACCUUAUUUUAAGGUUGAUAAAUUUUGUAUAGUGUAUAGUAUAAGGACUUCGAUGUUCGAGAUUGGAAUACAAGUCUAUAACACAUUUCUUGUUUUGCAUCUAAUUUUUAUCACAUUAUAUGAUUUGUUCAAUGACAUGUUCAUGUAUAGAUACCCUCAUAUAGGCCUAUAAUGAUGGAUAUAAAAAAAUAUGCUCACUUGAUUUGUGCACAGUCGGUCUCUUGUUCAAGGAAAAUAUUAUGGAAUAAUGGAAGUCCAGAAUCUUUUAGACCACAUAUUGAUACAGGAUGUUUUGGAUCUAUUGACUUUGGUCGUUUUGGAUAAAAUCAUAGAGUUAAUUAUUUUAUUGUGACUUGGUAGUUUAAUUCUACUUUGAGAUUUAAGCUCUUGGUUAUGCCACCCUGCAUGGGAAAUUUGUCUUUAUAAAAAUGUUUGCCUUCUUCUUCUAAGUGUAUGCCAUUUCUCUAAGUCUUUAAAAUACAAAAGCCAGAAAACUGAAAACGUAGAAAAUGCUUUCCAACAUUGAAUUAAUUUUAAGAAAAACAAAGUAAGAACAAUUAUAUACACUGAUAACUUUGUCAUUUAAGAUUUUGCAUGACUUUGAAUGAACCAGCGUACGGUUGGUACUGAUUGUAAUAGGAGUGUCUUGAUUUUGAUUCUUGAGGCUUCAACUGGUGGAAUGUAGACAAUUGUCUUCUGCAUAUAAAUUUCCCAUUCCACUUGUGAGACAUCCAAAAAAGUUGUUCUUGUAAAUUAAUUUUCAAAAGGACAAAUUCUAUGAAAUAUACAAUUACGUUGAUAUCUUUAACUGAACCCAUAUUAUAUGAUUAUAUAACUGCUGUAAUUUGUCCAUGCUGUAUAUGCAUUUAACUUACUAUUUUUUGUGUGAAGCCUUCAACUGGAAUAUAGACAAUGUCUUUGCACAUAAAUUUCCUAUCCUGCUUGUGAGACCUAUAUAUAAUGUUUUUUUGUAAGUUAAUUGCCAAAAUGGCAACUUCUAUGAAAUAAUCAAAAAAACAUAUUUUAUGCUUAUGUAACUGCUCUGUAAUUAAUUCUCAUUGUGUGAAGCCUUAUAAACUUAGCAAGUUUAGUACUCCGUAUGCAAUUAACAUACUAUAUUUGGCUCAUUGUUGCCUAAAAGUUGUGAUACUUUAUUUGUCUGUACUGGAUUGAGGAAAAUUAUUUACUGGCAGAAGCUUGUAUCAUUCUACCUUAUUUACAUAGAUAGUCAACAAGGGUUCCAUGUUGCCUUUCGCAUAGCCUCACCUCUGAGAUAGGUGAUUUGUUUUGAAAGUAUGGCUUGAUAUGUUUUGUUUGCCUCAAUGCAUGUAGGAACACCAUUGAUUUGUAUUAGUAACGGCAUUUAGCUUCUAUGUGAUGCUAGAGAAUUCAUCUACUUGGUGAAUAACAGUGAAAACAAAAUAAGAAGGCACAGGAUUUUUACAUUUUAAACUGGUUGAAUGGAGGCUGCUCUCCAACUUGCUAAGUUCUAUUAGAUAAUUUUUUUGUACAGAAAGACAUUAUGCAUUCGCAAUGAUUGUACUUAGUUAUUGCGUAGUUUCUGACCCUAUAAGUUUGGACAAGUGUAAAGAAGGGAGGGAGAACUGUAUAUCUUUUGAAUGCCCGGAAAAAUUAGACUUAAAAGACAAUUGGAGUUUGGAAACAUGUAGCACAAUUUGUUUUUUGUCCUAAUGAUUAUCAAAAUAGACAAAAGAAUAUAUUCAAGUCAAGCAUUCAUGUAUUGCGAUGACAUUGUUCAAUAGUGUUGAUUAUUAUGUUGACUGUUUUUGCUCAACACUCAACUAAUAAAAUAUUACUUGAGGAAAAAUAUUUGCUCAACACUCAGCUUUUGUAUAUAUUACACGAGGAAAAAUAUUAGCUCAAUAGAAUAGCAGCAUUACUGUAUGCUGCUAUCCACUCAAUAGAAUAGCUCAAUAGAAUAGUAGCAGCUUAAUAGAAUUGUACGUACGUUGGGGUUAAUCCCUAGGACACCACCAGAUUAAUUUUUAGUUAUCCCGUCGCCUUAGAAAAGUCUCUGGUGACUUUGUUCUAGGUGUUUUAUAGACAGCUCUAGGGCAGUACUUGUCUUUCCUCUUAUGCAUGUUUUGGUUUCAUAAAUCACUGACAUAUGGAAGAAUAGCAUUUCCACUUCUUUUCUUCUAUGUCAAAACCUAACUAGUAUUUUUUGGCUGACAUUUCGAGGGGAGGUGAGGGGGACGAGGGGAUUGGGCAGUGGCGGGGGAGGCAAGGGGAAAGGGUGAGAGAGGGGAGGGGGACAGGUAUAAUAUCCCUCACUUCUGAAAUUUAUUUAUAAAAUUUUUAAUGAUUAAACUGUUAAAUUAUAAAAAAAUUAAAAAUUAUGAUUUUAUCCCAUCACCUCUCUGUUUACUCGUGCGCAUCUCUGUUUCCUGCACGAGAAAACAGAGGAGGAGGUGUGCGGUGUCAGGGAGGAGAAGAAGGGAAAAAGAGGAGAAGAGAAGAAAAGAAGAAGAAGAGAGGGAAGAGGGAGAGGAGAGAGAGGUGCUGCAGGCCAGGGUAGACGGAGAGGAGAGAGAGGUGUCUGCAGCUAGGGCUGCAGCACCUCUGUUUCCCGCAAGAAGAAACAUAGGAGAGGAUAUGUGGGGAGGAGAAUGGAAGAAGAAGAAGAAGGUGGCUGCAACACCUUUGCAUCCCGCAGGAGGAAACAGAGGAGAGGAGACGUUGUGCGUCGGGGAGGAGAAGAAGAGAAGGGAAAGAAGAGGCUGCAGCUGCAGCAAUAGCAGCCGGAAGAGAAGGAGAGGAAGAAAAGAAUGUGAGGAAGAAGAGAGGAAGAGGAGCUGUGGUUGCGGCUAGGAAAGAAGAAGAAAAAGGAAAGAAGGUAGUUGCGAUUGCGGCAGUUGGGAAAGAAGAGAAGGAAAGGAAGAAGAAGAGAGAGAAGAGAGGGAAGAAGAGGAAGAGGGGAAGGUGGCUGCGGAGAGGAUAGGUGCUGAAAAUGAAACAGGGAGAGGAGACUGAAAAAGAAGAUAGGUGCUGAAAAUGAAACAGGGAGAGGAGAUGGAGGAAAAAGAAGAUAGGUGCAGAAAAUGAAAGAAGAUGGGGCUUACACCUUCGGAUCAAAAUCUUCGAAAGGCAAGUGUUCUGAUCUUUCAUAUUGCAAGUGUUCUGAUCUUUCAUAUUGAAAGUGUUUCGAUCUUUGCUCCUGCAAGUGUCCUAAACCUUUCUCUACUAUGAUUUUAUCUCUGCUUUUGUCUUGAAUAUGAAAACUUUGAAUUGUUCUAGUCUUGUAUUUGGUACAUCUCUUGUUUAAACGUAACGAUUUGAAUUUGAAAAUUUUUGAGAUUCUGACCCUUCCACCUUUGUAGCUAUAAAUCCCUGUAUAAAUUUUCAAUUUCAAUAAAACUAGUUUGAUAUGAAUAACCUUUCUUUUGAUAGCUUAUUUGAAGGAUUUUGAGUAAAUUUGUCUGUCCAAACUUCUGUUUCAAUUAACCUUAUAGAUUAUAUAAAACAAGGAUCAUAGCUUCUGACCUUUCGAUACUGAUAGGGCAUAUUUUGGUAAACAAGGAUUAUUUUGCUAUUCACGACCACAUCAGCAUUAGGGUCAUCACGUCGGAUUGCACCCCUCGGUCAAUGUCGAUUCCGCAAAGGUCGGACGAUGCAAAUCGAGUAUCAUGCCAUCCCGUAGGAGUCGGGAUAGCCGCGACCGAGUACAGCGUCGUCCCAUAAAGAUCGGAUCGGCGCUGACCAAGUAUAGCAUCGUUCCGCGAAGGUCGGGACGACGUCAACCGAGUACAACAUCGUUUUGUGAAGGUCGGGACGACGCCGACCAAGUAUGACGUCAGACAAUCAUAAAUAUGAUAGGUACGGUUGGUCCAACGAGGGAAGGAUAAAAACCCCUCGUGGGGGCGACAAUAGAGGUGGUUGAUUUUCCACUCAAUUCUAACAAGAUCUUCAGAGGGGUCAAAAUCGGGAGCCGCCUUCCCGACCCCGACCUGUGUGCAGGGUUCGUUGACAAAAAGGAGGCGGUCAGCCAAAGGGUGUUUCUCGACUUCGAAGCCAGAGCCCAAGCCUGACCUCACCAAAGCACGAUCGCCAUCAACUGAAUGCCGACGUGGACAAUCCUACGCAUUCGAGACUAAACCAAGCCAUGCUGACUCCAUCUCCCAUGGUGUGAGGGAUCCUUAUUAGAUACUAAAUUACCUAUAAGUCCCUAUAGGAAACUCUGAUUUGUUCAAAACUUAUUUCAUUAGAAAUCAGACUCAAUAGAUCCUUUUUUUGAUACCUAGAUCGAAAGAUUUGAAGUCCAAAUAUCUACCCAGUUUUCUAUUGAAAUAUCUUUAUAAUAUAUUUUCAAGUAAAUUGGAGCAUAAUUUUAAAUAAAUUGAAUUCUUGGAUGUUCUUGUUUUGCAUGUUUUUAUUUUCUUUUAAAUUUGAAUGCAUUUGUGAAAGGCACAUGUACGUUUCGUUAUACUGCAUGUGCCAAUUUAUUAUUUAUAAUGCCCUUUUGUACUCUGGUGUUUGUGGGAGUAUCUGGAUCUUUGUUAGAAAUGGUAAAAGGAUUAUGCCUAGAGCCUGCGAUGUUUUGUCGAUGGUCAUCUAGAAAUGGAUGAAUUAUAUUUUGUCUUUAAUCCCACUACACCUUCUAUAUGUGAAUGCAAAUAUGACGUUUAAACUUUUGUUUCGUAUUUGUUCUUUGAUAUGCUUCGAAAUAGUUCAUAUGUCGUUGAUAUGCUCUGAAAUAUUUCAUAUUCUAUUAAUAUGUUCUGAAAACACUCUGUGCUUCAUUUGUAUUCUGCCUUGCAUUAUGAUACCUAGUUUGUUUGAAACUAUCUCUUUUCAUUUUGGAUAUGUUUAAUCACUUACUGAGCGUUUUAACUCACUCUGUUGUUAUAUAAAUCUUUUAGGUCAACUUGUCGAGAUGUUUGUACAAGGUUGAGGUAGUGGAGAGCUAUUCAAAAUUCUGGGCAAACCUUAUUAUGUAAAAGUGUUAAAAGAUCUCUCUCGUUUAGAAUUUCGAAAUGUUAAGUUUAAUUUACGAUGAUAUGAACUUGAGAUAAAUAGUUGAAGUUCUGAUUGUAUAAACUAUACAGGUUUUAUGGAUGUGAAGUUGAUUGAAUGUUUCUCAAUGUCUCCAAAUGUUAGAGAGGAUGAGGGUAAGGGGAGGGGAGGCAAAUGAUUGUAUAAACUAUACAGGUUUUAUGGAUCUCAUUCCUUCUCACACUGACUCCUUCCGCUCUUUCCCCUAGUCGUUGUCCCUCUUCUUCUGUCCCCUUACCUCACUCCCUCCAUCCUUCUCCUCUCCCUUGCCCUCACUCCCUUCGUACCCCUCGCCUCACACCCCCACUCCUUCUCUCAUCGCCCACCCUCUCACCUUAACCCUGCUCCCUCCCCUAGCCUCUGUCCCUUUUCUUCCGUCCUCUCGCCUCGUUCCCCCNNNNNNNNNNNNNNNNNNNNAUGCCCCCCCACCCUCUGCCCCCACUCCCUAAAUCCCCCUAACCUCUCUCCCUCUCCCCCUAACCUUUAAAGAUUAAAAUGCACUUAUAGGUUCCAAAAGAGCCCAAAAUUCUUGUGCAUUUUUAUCUCCUUUUUACAUUCAAUCAAAACUACUCAUUAGUUGGGAUGGCCUUUCAAAUUAUAACAUCAUAAUCUCUAUCAUCAUAGUCUCUAUUAUGCCAAUGACACAAAAAAACUAAUAUGACUUCAGAAACACAUUUUGUCAUCAUAAUAUCACUUGGACCAAAAAUUCAUAUCAGGGUUCUCCAAAGAGCUGAAGAGCUUAAUGGGAUUGGAGAUUGAAGGCCUCAUCCCACCCUUCACCAUUUGUGCUACAAGCACAAAACAGAAAAUCUAACGAAAAAUUACCACUCCAAAACUCUCAGAGAAGCUAAUCUGUUACUUCACAUCUCUAAUGGUCAAGGAAUUCAUGGAGUUGGACAUGACAGGUUGGGUUUUCUUUAUCCACAACAUGCAAGCAUAUGGAGACAUAUGCAGGCAGUCAAAAGAAAGAAAAACGGUCAAAAAAAGAGAGGAAAAGCUAGAUAAGGUAAAAUGUGAUGAUAAGCUGUAACUGAAAAUUAUAGCUGUACUACCAGAUAACCUUCACACUUUAUAAUUUUGCAUGUCACAAGUAAAAUAAAGAUAUCAGUUUGAUGUACAGUUCGAUCAUUCCUGACACAUGUAACUAUUGGACAGAAACCUGUAUCAAUUCCAAAAUAAUCACCACAGGUACAUGAUCUAAUAAUUGGUUAUACAACAACAGUCAGGAAUGCAUAAAAUUGAUGCUUUGCCAACAGCACAUACAUCAUAUUAAUAAUCCAAAGAUUUAAUUGAUAAGACAAAAUUAUAUUUAGUUUAAUCAUCCAAAUUUCAGCACACAUUUUAAAUACUAUUGCUAUAAGAUAUAGAAUUUGCUAUUCAUUGCAUACAUAAUAGAAGAUAACAAACUAAAUCUUAAAAUAUAACUACUUAGUUGAGUGUCAAUCUAUUAUUUAAUUCAAGAUGUGCACUUCAAUUUUUUCAAGUUGCAUAAUUCAUCUACAAUGGAGUCUGUAUUGAUAAUUUCAGCAAAGAAGACUUAACUAACCUGAUUAACAUCGAAGGCAGAACCACAAACCAAUGAUUUAAUGCAAGAAUAUUUUACUAACUUGAGAAAGCACAGACAAAGAAGGCAGCACUUUGAUUGCAGACGAGCAAGAAAAGCAAAGCAUCUUAUUUGUAAGCCCUAGCAAAAAUAUAUUGAUGGAAGAAAAUUAGAUUUGCCAAUUGAAAUUCCUUUUUUUUUUUUCUUGGGGAGUUCACAAGUUUUCUUCUUUUUUUUUUAGGUAUACUUUAAGAGAUCACUUAUAGAAAGAAAUCAAAAUCCGGUUUUCCUUCAAUCAAGAAAUAGGAAGGGCUUCUUUAUCACAGUCAAGCGACCAUAGGAGCAUGGCCUCCCAUAUGCUGGCAAGAUUCCUUUCUACGUGAUCCUUUUUGACAGAAAGAAGUCAGAUGAGGAUAGGGACCCUCACUAGUUGAAGGUAGGGGUAUAAACAAGAUUAUAAUAGAGUUUUGGAAAGCCAAGACACUGACAGCCCUUGGUGCCACCGAAGAAAGCCAACCAGGGCCUGAAUGACUCGAUUUCAGCCACUAACAAGAAUUCUAGAAUCAAAUCCAUGGACAUCGAUCAAAAAUCCGUAGGAGAUCGAAAGCGGAGGCGAGAGAAAAGAAACGAAGAGCAUGACAAGAAGUCUAAGGUUCAUCUCCGUAGACAUCGAUAAAAAAUCAACAAGAGAUCCACCUGCGGCGGGUCAAGAAAAGAAAAGAGGGGAAUGACCAGGUCUAAGAAUUAUCUCCAUGGACAUCGAUGAAAAAUCAAUAGGAGAUCCACCAGCGGAAGGUAGGGAAAAGAAAAGAAAAGAAAAGAAGAGGGCCUGAAUGACUCGAAUUCAGCUUCUACCAAGAAUUCUAGAUCUAAUCAGUAAAGGUCUGGUUGCAUCCACAAGAAGUCCAAGAUUCAUCUCCAUGGACAUCGAUCAAAAAUCCAUAGGAGAUCGACCUGCGGAGGGGCAAGAAAAGAAAAGAAAAGAAGAGGGGAAUGACAAGAAGUCUAAGAUUCAUCUUCAUUGGCAUCGAUCAAAAAUCACUAGGAGAUCAACCUGCGGAGAGGAAAGAAAAGAAAAGAAAAGAAGAGGAGCAUGACUAGAUGUCUAAGAUUCAUCUCCAUAGUCAUCGAUCAAAAAUCAAUGGGAGAUACACCUGCGGAAGGAAAAGAAAAGAAAAGAACAGGGGAAAAACAAGAGAAUCUUGAAGUUUCCAUGGAGGUACUGAGGAACACCGGAGAUCGACCCUCUCCAUUAGAGAUCCAGAGGAGAAGAGUACAAAAGCUUCCACUCACAAGCGUCGCCAGGAGCUACAAAGCCGUGACAUCCAAGAACUAAAUCAACAUGAAUGUGCAGGGCAAACCUAUUAGGGUAUUAUCUAUACACGAACAAGAUCUAAUCCGUAAAGAUCUAUUAGCUUGCUCAAGAAUUUCAAGAUUCAUCAUCAUCGAAAUCCAAGAUUAAUCCGAGAAGAAAGGAAAAAGGCAAAAUACGAGGGAAACCUUCAGCUUCGGCGGAGGAACCCUUCGAUGGCGGUGGGUAACGUCCUCGCUUCAUCCGAUCGAUCGACUCCCUUCCGCUCUCUCCUCCUCUUCAAGAUCUAGUUGGAGUUUCCUCCCCCAAGAACUCGACAGCGAGCGAGAGAAGGAAUAACCAACUGGGGCAAGACGGUUUCUUGAAUUGGACCAAAACCCAUAUAAGUAGUAGUUGGGCCAAAACGGCCGGCCCGGGUCGGGUUUUAAUGACUAAUGGUUCGGGUUGGACGGAACCAAGAUGCGGUGGGCUGAGAAUUCCAAUCUGGUAAUUUAAAUAGAUUAAUAAUUAGCUCAUUUUUUUUUAUUCGGUAAACCGACAAUAAAUGGUGCCAUUUAUUGUCGAUAAAUGGCAAGUGGCAGAAUGACUCGGAUGUGGACAUUCUUGUGUGACGGUGACUUGGCGCGAGGAGCAUUAAUGAGAUGAGCUGGUUUGCGGAAGAAGCAGGGUGUUCCCCUGCCGACAUCGAUCGAUGUGCUCUCUUUACAUUUACAUGUGAGGGCAUGUUUGCCUACAGAACGCAGAGGGUGGCCGUGUAUACCCACCACGUUCCCCCGCAUUCCUACAAACAAUUCAUCUGCACAUCCACCUCCGUGCAUAAACACCAUGCUUGGCCGUCCUCGCAUCAAGGAAUUGCCCGCUCCAACCCACGCUAGUCUGUUGUCGAGCUCCGACAACCCCCCACAACCACUCUUAUGCCUUUUCCCGCACCCACACAAAGCGCUGCGUGGUGCCCGUUUCAUCCCCUCUACGCCACCAACAAACGUACGCCGGACUGAUAAAGAUGGGGCCAAAAGCAUCAGUAAGCAAAAGGUGAUGAGGGCGGUGGGCGUGACGGGUGCGUGAGGCACAAAGCGAAAAAUGAGAGGACGUAAGUUGCCACUCCAUCAGCGCGCCUGUCGAACACCUUUCGGGCAUCCUUUAGGAAUACAAAUCUCUCAAGCAACGAAGGCAAAGAUGCAAUGGUGCUCGUUGUUUGAAGAAACCACGGCAAGGCCGUCGAGACACGGCCAUCACGUCAUCCGCCGCGUCAUCACCAUCAUCCUCACUCGUACGCCGGUUUGGGAUCUCACCGGGGCGGAAUCCCGAAGCACGCAGACCACGUGGGACGCCAGAGAACGAACCUGCUGUUGGCGCUUCGGGAACGUGGGGAUUGACGGGGCCCACGUGGAGAACCAACCAAGAGCACGGACAAGUACAUGAUGGCGAGCCUCGUGAGCCCCACGUGACGGGGAUGGCCUGCCGCGGGCGCCGAACGCCAAGUUUCCGCUAACAUGGUGCGUUGUAUUAGGCACGGAUAACCCAAGUGUAAAGAUGGGGGGGCUGUGGGAGGGAAUCUAAGCUGCACCUUCGUAGUUCUUUCGCCUGCCAGCCAAGAAGCUAUAUUAUAGUCCAUCUGAAUUCAAUAAUGUGGAAGUGGUGGACACGAGGAUGGCACUGUCAGGGGGACCAGUGGCGAUGUCUUGGAAAAGCAAGCUUUGGGAUCUCGCUGCAGCUCUAAUCGGGGCAGGCCACCGUGACAGCUCAGAAGCAAACGAACAACGUAGGUAGAUUUUGACUUCAGAUGACGAUGCUACGUAAUGUGUAGUAAAAAACGAUAAGAAAAGGAUGGUGGUGCCCGAGACGGGGAGCAUGGUCCACCUAACUGCUUCCCUCCCACCACAUGACCGCUUUUUUGAAGUGCCCAAACGAUGCGUGGUGGCCCACCCUCACACGUGCGCCACGCUCCACAAGUGGGCUGCAGGUGCACGUGCUGCCCCAACCGUGCCCGUCGUUCUCUUUUCCCGGUCCUCAAAUAUCUAUUUCCGUUCACACGCGUUCGUGACGGGCGUUUCCCUACCCGCACCGUCCUCUUUCAAUCUCUCUCGUGGUCACGUUUCCCCGGUUGUCUCCUCGAACCGACCCAGUCGAAUUAAUUUGAACUGGUAGAAAGGAAGAGAAAUAGAUGCAUGUGGGCCGUGUGAUGCGGAGGCGAACGUAGUUGGUUCUUUGCACUGCUUCACAGCCGGGGAGGUCGGGCGGGCCAAAUCGCCAGCUGUGAGGGGGGGUACACGACGUACGAGUCACGGGAAAUGCCAUCGCAAUCCAAUAUCCAUUAAUGAACUACGACAGAUAGCAACCGACGCUGCCCUGCUCGUUCGUAUAAUAAUGAAGUAUUGAUAGGCUUACUUCCAACAUGUAUCUCCCCUUGCUAAUUCUUCUAGAUGGAGAAUUAUUACUAAAUUACUCUUUAAGUGGGGGGACACCGUGUUCAUUAUAUUAAAUAACAGACGUACGUAGAUAUAAUAAAGGCGUAAGGAAGGAGCGAGGAAGGUCGGUAACAGGUGGUUUAGAAAGGAAGAGGGAGGGAGGGAGGGGUGUCGGUGUGCAGUCAAAUCUAGAGAUAGAAAAAUGGCAGUCGGUUUUUUGGCAGUUUGGAGAGCUUUCGAGUGUGUACAGGAGAAGAAAAGGAGAGGGUGGGGGGCAGUUAAAGGCUGCAUCUGACAGCUUGACAGGCUGGCCUGAACGGAUACCAUAUCUUCCCAUCGGACGAUAUAAUUCACAACAGUAACAUCAUCCAUCAACGGCGUUACUGCGUACUGAGUCGAAACGGAAAGGGACGAGUGAUACACGCGGGCAGAACUCACAACGGCGUUGUCACGGAAGGAAGGCGCUGUGAACAAGAUGGCGUUUGAGGGCGUUACGAUUCUGAUUCGAUGGGUGUACAAUUACCGUCUGAAACAUGGUGGGAAUCGCAACGAGGCAUCAUUGUCCGCACCCGUUAUGCGAUUGGAGAUCGUACGGGCCCCACGCGGCAAGCCGCUGACAAGGCACACGGUUGGUAGUGUCGUCGAGCAGACAAAGGUGGUGCCGUGGAGCAGCUAACGGAGAUGCGUGGCCACCGCCAGCUGUAUGCAAACGAAACCUGUGGGAACCGGACGAGCUCGCCAAGCGAUACCUUAACCCGGUCACCGUCGACCCUCUAUAAAAUCCCGUCUGUCUUCUUCGUGCUGCUACUGCCAUAACUCUCGCUUCCUUCAUCAGCCUCUUCUUCCUCUGGGUUUGAACAUUUGCUCUAACGUAGCAAAAUAACGGUCGAAAUAUUUGUUUAUUUCCUACGGUGGCCUAUCCUUCCCUAUUUUUCUUUGUAUUGAUAUCCUCCGGGAUUUUCGUUGGAAUCGCUUGGGGGUUUGGAUCGAUCGGUUGGAGUUUUUGAGUUGGGGGAGAUUGGAUCCGAUGGCGGCGACGACGACGACGACGGGGGGAAGCAGGAGCAAGGAGGCUGAUAGGAUCAAGGGGCCGUGGAGCCCGGCGGAGGACGAGGCGCUGCAGAGGCUGGUGCAGCGGCAUGGCCCCAGGAACUGGUCGAUCAUCAGCAAGUCCAUUCCGGGGCGCUCCGGCAAGUCGUGCCGGCUGCGAUGGUGCAACCAGCUCUCGCCCCAGGUGGAGCACCGCCCCUUCACGGAUGAGGAGGACGAGAUCAUCGUCCGCGCCCACCGCCGCUUCGGCAACAAGUGGGCCACCAUCGCCCGCCUCCUCUCCGGGCGUACCGACAACGCCAUCAAGAACCACUGGAACUCUACACUCAAGCGCAAGCACAGCCGCCCCUGCGCCGGAGAAGACGGGCUGCAGCACCACUACGACGCGAUCAUGUCGGUCAAGGCAGCGGAUAUGGAGGACGAGGCGGAAGCGACGAGACCGCUGAAGAGGGCAAGCAGCGACGGCCUGAUCCUGUUGUCGCGAGGAUCAGGGAUUUGCUUCAGCCCCGGAAGCCCGUCCGGGUCCGAUGUCAGUGAUUCCAGUCACCAUAGCUAUCCGGUGAUGCCGCCGCCGCACAUCUAUCAGCCGGUUCCGACAACUGGCCGCAUCGUGCCAUGCUCCUCUCCGAUCCUCAAACAGACUCAGGGCGAGACAAUCAGUGCUGCCGUAGCCCCUACAUUUCCCAACAACGACGACGAUCCAGCUACUUCCCUCACCCUCUCCCUUCCUGGAUCAUGUCAGAUGUCCACCUCCAAGGAUCGCAAGGUCCAUACCAUCUUCAAACCCAGUCACCAGAGCCAGCUGUCGUGCUCUGUUGCUGCUGCAGAUCCGCAGCAGAUGAUACCGGGCUUUUCCUCUGCAGCCACUUCCGCCGAGGAGGGGCGUCGGCCAGCGCCUUCUCCUUUUAGCGCCGAAUUCCUGGCGAUCAUGCAAGAGAUGAUCCGCAACGAGGUGAGGAGCUACAUGGCGGGACUGCAGCAGAGCCGCAUGAUGUGCGGCGUGCAGCCGCCAUCGGAGAGGGCCCGCAACGCCGCCGCCGUGAACCCCAUCGGAGUGACAGAUCUCGAGUAGGAGACGUUUUGGUCGCCGAGGAUUAUUAGUGAGCAAAGGAAUCGAAGAACAUCUUCGUAAGGAGAGAAGGCGGCUCCCUUCUUUGUAGUUGAAACCUUUCCUUUGCCCUGCUCGAACUCCUUCCUAAAUUUGGUUGCCUUGCUAGUGGAAAAAGAAAUUGUAUAGGAGAAAGACCACAAUGUUAAAAACACAAAAAAAAAGAGCAGUUUUGUCAUUUUGAUUUCAUUUUACUCGUUCAAAAGGGAAAAGUUGUGUGUUGAUAACAGUUAAGCGAGUUCGCGACCUGCCGCAUUCUGCGAUGGUCAUCUACUGUCUUCAUCAUGCAGUAUAUUAACAAUAAUUACAUAUUAGCGGAACUUUUGAAUUGAGAAUCUGAUCGAUUUAUUUUGUCUUAAAAAUUAAGAUUUAAUUUUUCUAUAAAUAUCUAAGUUUUGACAAAGAAAAAAAAAGUAAAAUGUGAAUAUAUAUAUAUAUAUAUAUAUAUAUAUAUGUCUUAAUAAAUAAAUUAAAAAAGGUGAUGGUGAUUGAGCCACACGUGAUCAACGAAGAAUAGUGCCACAUCUCUAUGGGAUAAAAAGAAUUGAAUCACACAUAUGGGAGAUAACUUAAAAGUCGUAUUUUAGCGCUGAUCUAUGUCAGAUACGCAAACAUCAUUAGAUAAAAACAUGCUAGAUUUGAACUUUGCCAUAGAAGAAAUGAAAUCCUAUCCCUAUUAAGCGGUAUUACCAGCAAAAAGCUUAAAUGAUAGAUAAGAGUAGAUGUAGGCAGAUGAAGCAAUCAGUUUGGUAUUGACUGCGGAUGGACCGAUGCACCAGUGCGGUAUUAAUAGAAGACAGUGAUAUUGGCGCGGCUCAAUCUGAGAAGGGUUUACCAUCGUAUCAUAAGUAAAUCCAAUCAUCAGAUUCAACCUCACCAAUACCACUUCCUUCAUCCACCGAGUCACCAACACUACUGACUGCGAUCACAACCAAUGAAGAAAGCAGAAGAUACAUGCCACGAUUGGGCUCAGCUGCAGCUGGAGGAGGUAGGAGAGGCCUGUGAAUCAAGAGGGCUCGACCAUGGAAGGAGACGACAGAAGGUUGUGAAGCAAUAUGGAAGGAGAGGGGAGAGCGCAUGAAAUAGUGAGGGAGGUGUCUCGGGAUUCUUAAGAAGGAAGUGCGAGGGGAAUGAUGCGAGUUCACCCAAUUCAACGCAGGAAGAUGUGUGCACGCUUGAUGUAUCUUUCUUGCGCAUGCAUGCCCGCCUGCAACAUUCGACGUACUCCAUUCGUUCAACUCUUCUUCCAACGUAGAGGGACGAGUACCACCGCGUAGUACACAGAGUGAGUUAUCGUCUCUCAUUCUUUUCUUACGCUCACGACGGAGGACAACGGCGUCAAAGUGGUUCUGCCAUGACACCGACAACACGCGGGGACACCCGCCGUUGGGCUGCUCAACCUCGCUGCUGCUUCUCCCUUUCGACCGCGCAUCAUCAUUAACUGGUUCGUCUUCAACAGUCCAAGAUACUUGGUGGAGAGGAUGAGUGUGUCAGGCAAAAGGUGGGACUCCUCGAGUUCCUCCUCGCUCUCUCCUACACCAAAAGCUGAUGCACCACCUUGGCGUGAAAGCGAGUUAAGGGAUAAAGGUUUAGAAUCCCAUGUUUGCAAUCAUGGCACACACGACGACUAAGCUGUAGGAAUCGACCUGUUCUUGAGCUCAAAUCGUUGUUGAUAUUAAAUCAGUGCAAUAGAUCGAGAAGAACAGGGUGAAUAAGGAGGCAUCCAGAUACAUUGUUAUUAUUUCUCAGUGACCCAACACGAUCAGCUCCUGGUCGAAUACAUGGAACAUAUCCGGGCCGCCCUCAUCCGCGUUCGCAUCGUGGUUGGAAGCUAAGGCGUCGGCGGGCCUUGCCGUUGCUUGGCUCACUGGUACGUGGAAGUCUGUGCUCUUGAUGGUGAGUCCGUCCGCCCCCACCGCCACGACGUCGCCCGCGGCCGAUCUCAUCAGCAGCAUGCAUGCAAGUAUUGCGAGGAUAGCCAUCGCCCGGAGGGAGGCCAUCGUUGUCGUCGCGGGUGGUCGCCGGUUGACAACAAGAAGAAGAAAGGCCGUGAGAGGGAAGGGAGGGGACGAAGCCAUUUUAAUGAGAGAGGGAGGGAAGCAGACCGACGACGGUUUCGGCCAUUCGAGGAAACGGGUGGCUGCAGU
rnacentral:lncRNA from 1 species